rnacentral:lncRNA from 1 species
GCUAAUCCUACCUUCUGAGACACACUCUAUCUUUUUAUAGCCCCAAUAGUCAAUCAUAUAAUACUUGAAUACUUACUAACUUUGAAUCCUCGUGAGUACCCCCAUAGUCGGAGUUCACACUCUAUAGCACUUCAACUUUUAUUUCUAUGAGCUCAACCUUCAAGAACUCAAUCCUAGCUUCUAACAUUUAACAUGGAUAUCACCAAGCCUUUGAUGAACCAUACUACUUCCGUCAUAGCCUACCAAUAUUGCGACUCAAAACUUAUAUCUCUCUGCCAUGAGAAUCAAGAUCAUAUAAAAAAAACUCAACACUAUCAAUCAAAACUCCUUAACUUGGCUAUUUAGAAUACCAUAUUCCGUUCAAGCCUAUUAGAUCACUUCCAUAUAACCAGUAUCAUUAACCAAGAAAUCAUCAUAUCUACCUUUAUGGACAUCAACUGUUCAAACUUAAUGUCUAGUGCUAAGCAUGAUUUACAACCCAACCUGACACACAAUUCUCACAAAAUAUUCAUCAUUAAUCUUAAGCCACUAUUCUUACAUCCACAUCCUACAUUAAAUUCAAGGCAAUAGUCUAGCAUCAAUCAUCUACCACCAAUGAAGAAGGCAACACAAUAUACUAGUCCAUCAAAUUGGGACAUUCUAUCCAAAUACCUCAAAAAUAUACUACAUACCUUCUUAGAAGUAGUACUAGUUUGCAACUACCAACGAAAACAAGGUCAAGGGGGUAAAGUCACAUAAUAGACAUGGUCAACCUUAAUCUUAUAUUAUAACCCCAUACAAUCUUAUCUAUUUAUACGACUUUCUCACAUCACACUUACUUACCCAAGCGUAUAUUUAGACUACCUUCAAAUUCCAAAAAUAAUCAUGAGUCUAUAAUUAUAACUUACUGGCUUAUCUAGCCAUUUUCAUACUUCAAGCAGACAACAAUUCACCUUAACUAAUAACUCCUUCUCUACCUUCUACUACACUAACACACAAGGACGUAUCACUUCAUUACCAACUCAAUCUCAUGCAAAAAGAUUCGGCUAUACAUAUAUUCAACCAACAUAAGAACAACAAGUUGCUAGUGAAUCAAAAUAGGCCUCACAUGGCUUCACUAAACUUUGAUUCUUGUGUUUUGAACAAGAAAAUGAAAUGAAUAACAAAGCAGCUAUGCUAGUGAAUCAUAAGAGCCCCACAGACUACCAUAUAAUCCACACAUGCUACUAAAUACCACCUUAGUCUAUCACUAUAAAGUGGUAAAUCAUCCUUAAACAUCGGUUAUUCAACUAAAAUAUUUAUUUACACAAAAGUCACCCUCACUCUGACUUUUAAUUUUGUGACUUCAUAUCACCAAGUUCUUGGUCUAAUCUCACUACCAAUAGGUCAUGACACCGACACUUUAACUUAUACUACUAAUCGGGUGGAAAUACAGUUCCAACAUUUUGCUACACAUCAUUCCCCUUGAAGCAUGAAAUCUGGAACAUAAAUUUUUGAAAAAGGACGGAAUACUCUUAAUACCGCAGUCCAAAAAGCAUGAUUUCAUCAGAAUCAAAGUUCACACAAAAAUCAAUAUACUCUGAGGCACUAACGAACUCUUCUCAAGUCCUUGCACAAAUUUUAAACUCUUAUAUGGCUCAAUCAGAAAGGACCAUACCAUUUAGACUCUAAACUUCUGCACUUGAAUCACCCCAAUAGCGAGACAUAUCUGGGCAUAUCAAAGUAAGGAAAGAAUUGGGAUAACUUUACUUUUGUAUUGGCGACACCAUAUCACGAAUUAGAGUAUGUAAGAGGAACAUUCUGGCUCAAUAGCAUGAACUAGAACAUGAAAAAAGGGAAACAUUCCUAAACACCUAGUAGCCUCCUUCUUAUAAGUGUGGCGCACUACACACCCAUAAAAAGACUCUACCCGACCCAAUUUUGCAGACACCUUGGGACCAUGAACCGUGCUUUGAUACCAAGUUUGUCACGAAUCAAACCAGGGCCCUGGCCGUGAUGGAUAUCCCGAACUAUGAAGGCCCGAGAGCCCUUCUAACUUGUAAUCAUAUACACCAUUCAUAUAUAAAUAGGAAAUACAGAAAUAAAAUCUGCUACGGAAACAUGGUUAUAAUCUAAAUGUAGUUAACAAUGAGGAAUAAAAUCCAAUAUCAACUAAACACCGUCUGAAAACCAUCUGCGAAAUCUCUACUACAUGAUUAAAUAAAAAUUAUCUAAAAACUGGGACAAGGCCCCCAUAGACCAAAACCAUAAUAAAUAAUAACUAUCUGAAAGAAACUAGGCCUUCUUAAAUAUAGAAGGCUUACCAACUGGUACUCUUCACUCCUGUCUGAUGAAAUCUACUGCUUAUCAGGACCCCUAGACUAUGCCUCAGAACCUGGAGGGGGAGGAAUCAAUAUAGAUGUACUGGUACGCAGAGCAAUCAAAAAUAAAGCUUUUAUAUAAAUAAAAUAGUUGGAGAGCAAUUUGUCAAAUACCAUACAUGAAGUAGUUCUAGAACACAUGCGUACUUUCUGAAAUUCAUAAAUCAUUCUUGCCAAUGCAAUGUCUAAUCUUUGUAUUACUUUUGAGUUAUGUGGCACUCCCCUACAAUUCUGAUAUUCCACGGGCGGUAUAGAAUCUACCAUUGACUCGGCAGAGAAGCCCCCAAAACGAGUGUGCCGCAAGGUUGGAGUUUCUGAUUCUGAUACGCCACACAACACUAGGCCAGCGUAGUGUAAUACACCCAGAUCAGUAAAUCACAAUUUUGGGCAAUGAGUUAUCUGAACUCAUGCCUUCUUCAGGGAACCACCUAACAUCUCUUUAUGCCCAAUUUUGUCCUAUUCUGAAUUAUGCAUUAUUCUAGUUUCAAUAUCUGAAAAUUCUGACUUCAAACAUGCAUUCUAUUCUGUUCUGAAUUUAUCAUGGCAUAAUCUGAAUUGGUGUCAUCACACCAAGACUUGCAAGUCCUAUUUCUGAGCCAUAAUGUAUCAUGCAUAAUUCUUUCAUUAAAGCACAGUUCAGACCACCCAAACAUGCAAACAGUAUAAAAGAUUUCAUGUUCUAAAAACACAAGUCAAAACUAUGCUGAGAUUAUUCAAACAUAUGGUGGUUAUGUGUUCUUUUGGCAAACAUGCUACUCUUAGUUAUAUGCAUAUUCAACAUUUAUCAACAUUUAUAACCCUCUCUUUUUAUAUAGAAAUCAAAUUCAAGUCAUAGCAUAAAUCAAGACAUUUCAUAUCAUGCUUUCAAGAUGCAAUUUAGAACAAUUCAUAUCAUAUGAAAGAUAAGAAAAAUUAUAACAAGAGAGGAGUUCAUUAUAAUUCAUGUUCUCAAUUGAAUAUUCAUCCUUAAACACAUUUAUACACACACACACACAUACACACACACACACACACAUAUAUAUAUAUAUAUAUAUAAUUUUUCUAUCAAUUUAGGGGAAGACCUAAAGGCCAAAACAAUAUCAUCAAUGCUUCUAAAACAUGAAUAUAUUCAUAAAUCUGAAAAAACCCUUUCUUAAAAUCAAGAUUUCUAUACCCAUGAGAUUUUAGAAAAACCCCGCGUACCUUAAAUUAGAAGCUUUUGAAUGAACUCUAACUUUUGGGAUGCUAUACGUACGAUUGAUGGGUGUUUCUUGUAUCCCUCGCAAUGGGGAUUCCAAAUCUCGAAGAAUUAUUGAAAACCCAUGGUGAAAUCUUAAGAUAUUUUGAUCUUUGGGUUGAAACUCUAAGAAGUGUUCUUGAGAGAAUUUGAGAAAAUGGGGGUAUAAUUUGGUUAUUAGAGGCUGAAUCUAAUGUUAUUGGGGCUAUUUAAGGGUGGUAAAUGACCCAAAUACCCCUCUUGGAUGCGGAGCUUGACUGCAGGAAAUUACACUGGAAGGAAUAGGUAGGGCGCCACCUUGCUUAUUGCCCUGGUUUACUGCCUCUCACAAAAAUAGCUGUAACUUUUUUGCUCAGGUAUCAGAUUUUCUAUGAAAUUGGUAUCGUUGGAAAGCUAAUUUGAAGAGAUUUCAUUUUAUAUAUAGUAGGCCCUCUAAUUCAUUAUAUACAAAGAGAUAUGGUCAAUUGAUGUUGACCCAAGUUUCGACGCUCACUCAACUCGAAUGAUAGGAAAGCUUUCAACUUGUCCUUGAGUUAGGGGACCUUUAUGAUCUUAAUUCAUGCUCAAAUAGGUUCCCACACUCCAUAAUUGAUUAACAUACCAAAUUUGCAUAGGAUUUAAGGCUUUUGAAUCAUCUACGCAUAGAAAUAACGAUUUUUGUUCUAGCCCAAAAUGCGGAGUGUUACAUUAUUUCCCCCUUGGGAUCAUUCUUCCCCGAAUGAUGGGUAGGAAUGUUGAAGCUUAAAGGUAUGGAAUAAUGUGGAUAUGAAUGUGUCUUCUAAGAGAGGAUAUAACUGAUCUGAAACAUUUAAACUUCUAUCAUGAAACUGAAUUCUGAGUUGACUUGAAGAAAAUCCCAUAAUAAAUGCAUAAUUCCAUCAUAAGGUUGAGGUUUCAAAAUUCAUGUUUUUUUAAUCAACUUCAAAGCCUUAACUUACAUACAUAAUAAGGAUUAUUAAAAUCAACAUACUUAUGCCAAUAAAUUUUAGGAUAGUUCUACAUACCUUUGAUGUAGAAAAAUUAAAUAAUAACCUUGAAUUUGGAAUCUACAAGCUUUAGCAUUGAGAAACCCCUUCUUGAUGAUAUUGGGAGGAAGAGAAUGAGGAUUUGGAAGAAACCCUAGCUUCUUUCUUGAGAGAGAAGAGGAGAAUGAGCGUUUAAAUCUGAUUAUAAAGAGUAAUAAUUCUUAUUGGAAGAUGUAAGUCGUGUGGGAGGAGACGUUUAUGGUGGGGAAAAAACCCAAAUACCCCCUUGAAAACUUUAUAAUAGUGCAAAACGGUUCCUACUGAUGAUUUGGGUGACGGAUCAUCACUCCCGCGAUAGAUAGUCACUCCAACCGUUCCAAAAUGACCAAUUUUCUCUCUAUUUGCUUAAGGACGACGGUCUGGUGCGACGGGCCAUCACCCUAGCCGUCGCACCUUGGAAGACAAACACCUUUUGAUAAAUCAUGCAUAACUUUUUAUUACGAUAUCAAAUUAAAGCAAAACCGAUGGCGUUGGAAAGAAGACUCGAAGACCUCUCAUUUGAUAUACAGGAUGCCACCCUAACUCAUUAUAUUUUAGGAGUAAUAUUUGUUGAAAGUUGACCCAAGUUGGAACAUUUCCUAAAACUCAAUCAAUAGAAAAAUUCUCAACUCAACUUUGAGUUUGGAGAUUUUUAUGAUCUCAAUUUAUCUGUAAAUAUGUUCCCUCACUAAAGAAUUGAUCCUCACACUUAUAUGGACACAAAAUCAUUAGGUUCGGAUCUAUAUAUGUCGGAAUGAAGGUUCGAAUUCUAACCCGAAAAUGUGGGGUGUCACACAAACGACCCCUUAAUCUAAAUGCCCUAUCAAGUAUUUUAGUCACUUAAACAUGGAAAAUUGCACGUAAGAUUAGAAGCUGUGGAAUCAUACCCUAUCAUCCAUAGUGUAAUAAGAAAAAAGAAAAAGGAAAACUUUACACCUUGUUUGGAUCGUUAUUACAAAUACGACAUUUGCUUAGAUUGCUAUUUAAGAUAUAUUAUAUCGUAUUGUUAAAUCCAUCGUGCAUAACAAUGAAAAGCUCCAUUGUGUGUGUUAGCCUUAUACUACGUUGCAACAUUCUUUUGGACAUUUUUCAAUAGUUUUGUGCAAAUUAUGCACUCCAAAGUCUACCAUUUACCUAGCAUGAAUUUCGUUUAAUCCAUAAAAACGUAGAAUCCCAUGAGACCACCCUUUAAUUUUUGUUUACCAUACAAAUUUUUAUGUGCCACACAUUAAACUGAACAAUAGCUUUUAUCUCUUCCAUCCAUUAUUUCAGCAUCUUAAUUUAAGCAAAACCAUACAAACACACAUGAUUCUUAAUCUAUUCACACCUAUAAAUAAUCCUCCUUUUCAUUCUUCAUUUCUCAUAAUCACAAUUUGUUUUUAACAAAAGUAAAAAGAAUGGAGGUGUCUAACAAGAAAAUAACAUCUCCAUUCUUUGCUUUCUUGUUUAUUUCUUCUCUUCUUAUUCAAUGUUUUCCGUGUGUUUCAUCAAAACCAAUUCCUGGAGGAAAAUACAAUAAGCCGGUCCCAAACCCAGGCCCCAUAAAUCCGGUCCCAAAUCCAGGCCAACCACUUCCAAAUCCUACAACACCGGGGGGCAAAAAAUUUUGCGUACCCAAACCUGAGGCUACAGAUAAAAAAUUGACGGCUUGUAUAAAAUGGGUUUGCAAAGAGGGAGGUGUGGAUUGUGGCCCAAUUAAUCCUGGAGGUGCAUGUUCUCAGCCCAAUACUCUUAGGUCUCGUGCAACCUGGGCCAUGAAUGCUUACUUUCAAAUGAAGGGUAAAACUGACAGUAUGUGUGGUUUUUCGGGCACUGGUGUCGUCUCUUCCAUUGAUCCAAGUAAGUAUUCAACAUUUUUUUGAUCAGUGUAAAGAAUUUUGUAAAUUAUUAAAUCACUUUGAAGAUGAAGAAUUUUUGCGAUACAUAUUGACAACGUUUUGUCAAAUCACCAAUAAGAUAACCAUGUAUAAUUCAGCAUAGUAAUUAAGAUUAGUAACCUAAAAUAUUAGGCAAACAACUGAAAUAACAGUUUAAAUUAUACCGAUAGUGUAAAAGUUUUUGAAAUUUUAAGCUUAUGUAAGUUUUCACAACAUUAAGUGUUUAAUCACUUAUUAUAAAAUAAUAAAAUAUUGAAUUUGGAUUGAAAUCAAAUUUAUAAUUAAUAGACCGUGAAUUCAAUAAGAAAACUAAAAAUGGAGCAAUUCAGUUCUAUCGUAAUACAAUUUUUUUUGUAAUUAGUCCCAUGACAAAAUUAUAAUUAUACCCAUUAGUAAGUUUUCAAAUGGAGAAAAUUAUAACUUAUCAUUUUUUAGUGGAUAUUUUGGUAAGACAACAUUAUUAUUCUUGAUUCUAUAGUAAUAUAGACAGAUAGAUAUAAAUUACAUCUGCUUAUUGUUUAGGCUAUUUAAAUAGUGUAAAACGAUCUUGUAUUUUUAGUUUAUAAAAGUUAAAACUCUGACGAUAAUUAUUGAUAUUGUUCAUAUAAGUAAAUUAGUAACUAAUCUUACAAAUAAGAUAAGUAACUUUUUACAACAUAUUAAAAUCCAGUUCACAUUCAAUAUUGUUAGGGUUUUUGUCCUAAUUUUCUUACUAUAUUUAAGCUUUACUUUUUCUUAGAAGGAAAAUAAAAGUUACCAUAAUUACUUUUACAUUUCCUGAUAGAAAAAAUAUAAUUCUUUUCCAUAUUUGGCAAACCUCUUUCUUGGAGGAAAGGUUUUGGACAUCUAUAAAUAAAAGACCCCCUUCCCAUAUCAUAACACAAUAGCAUCAACAAUGUAGUCAUCAAAGAGUCUCGUUUAGGGGGAGAUUUUCUCUCUAAUAGUUUUACGUUUUCUUUUAUAUUAGGUUUUUAUAUGUAGGCCAAUUGGCCAAACUAUAUAAUCAUCAUGUUUUUAGUAUGUUUUUCUUUUCGCCUGAUUUAUCGUCUCAAUAAUUUGUAACUAAUAGCUUCCACAUGACGCCAUCUCGAUUUCAAACCCAACAAAUAUUUUUAUCAUAAAACAUUCUUGAAUUAUUUUAUUGAAAAUCUAAUGAUAGUUGUCCUAAUAAUUGUUUUUUUUUUUUUGUAGGUUAUGGUACAUGCAAGUACCAAUCUUAAGUUUUUCGGACCCCAAAAGAAAGAUUUUGCAGCUACUCCAACAUUUGAAGAAUUAGUUUUGAAAUAUUAAGCUAUUGUUUCUAAAUUCUCUAUUUAAUUUUCAAAAACUAAUCUAAUUAUGUUGUCAUGUAGUGUGUUUUUAUUACAAAUAAAAAAUAAAAAAGAUUGUUGCCUACUUAAUUUUCCACGAUCAAGUUUUAAUUAUAUUCUAUCUUUUAUCCUUUUUGUUUGAUAAUUUAGUGUGCAACAUUCUACUAAAACUAAACAAUGCUAUUACUAUUUGAAGAAUUAUAUAUAUAUGUAUAUUUUAACCGUGAUUUACUUAAUACUAAAAAUAAAGAAAGUAUGGCAAAUAUUGUUAUUCAGUUCAUAAAAGGUAUGAACUAAAAGUGUUUUUUUCUACUGUUUUUGGGUUUUUAUUGAAAAUCUAAUGAUAGUUGUCCUAAUAAUUGUUUUUUUUUUUUUGUAGGUUAUGGUACAUGCAAGUACCAAUCUUAAGUUUUUCGGACCCCAAAAGAAAGAUUUUGCAGCUACUCCAACAUUUGAAGAAUUAGUUUUGAAAUAUUAAGCUAUUGUUUCUAAAUUCUCUAUUUAAUUUUCAAAAACUAAUCUAAUUAUGUUGUCAUGUAGUGUGUUUUUAUUACAAAUAAAAAAUAAAAAAGAUUGUUGCCUACUUAAUUUUCCACGAUCAAGUUUUAAUUAUAUUCUAUCUUUUAUCCUUUUUGUUUGAUAAUUUAGUGUGCAACAUUCUACUAAAACUAAACAAUGCUAUUACUAUUUGAAGAAUUAUAUAUAUAUGUAUAUUUUAACCGUGAUUUACUUAAUACUAAAAAUAAAGAAAGUAUGGCAAAUAUUGUUAUUCAGUUCAUAAAAGGUAUGAACUAAAAGUGUUUUUUUCUACUGUUUUUGGGUCUAUCAAGAAAAUUCUGUCUCAAAUCAAUAGCACAACCAACACACCAAUAUUACACAUACAAUUUACCAAAAUCAUCAACAACCCAUUCACCAUAAAUAACAUUCGCUAUUCAUCUCCAAACUAUGAGAAGAAGUCAAUAACUUCAAAAGUCCAUAAUAACAAAAGAAUACUCAAACUCUAAAGUCAUGACUAUGGAGCGAUUCUAAGAGCUUUCAACUUGAACAAGUGCGAGGCUUACCAGGAAUAUGUCACGACCCGAGGUUACCCCCUAGUCGCAAUAACGGUGUUUACGGUCACAAGUGACCACAAGCUAAUUCUUGAGCUGAUACCUGCUGUGAGCACUGAGUAUAAUAAUAAUAUAACACAUGUGUGAAAGAUACAAUGAGAAAAUAAUACCAAUCUAAAUAUUGAAAAUGUGGUUCAACCACAAGUCUAAAACAUCUGAUGAAAUACUGGAAGCUAACUAUCAAUUUAAAACAACGGAUAAUACUGAAAGGUCUGGUUAACUGAAUAAUCGUCUAACUGACUGUUUGAUUAUUUGAAAAGCCUCUAACUGAAUGACUAAGAAGUUGUGGGAAAAUCCCCCAACUAACUUUGACAGACUGAACAUAAUGACAUUCUGAAGUACUGAAUGAGAAAUAAUAUGUAACGCCCCAAAAUCUAAUCCCCGAGAUGCCACACGGUGCUCCGAACUACAAGUAGUUCUGAGCUAACCCUAGUUGCUUUCUACUAAUCUGAGUCUCAAAAAGGAUAAAUAUAAGCAUGAAACCAUAAUAAGUGCGGAAAUCUAUUUGAAUUCUCUGAACAUAUAUCAAAAUGCAAAUCUCAAUAGUCUAAUAAAAACAAAUAUUGAAUAGAAUCUGAAUAUGAUUUCUAUACCCAUGAGAUUUUUAGGAAAACCCGGCAUACCUUAAUACCGGAAGAUAAUAGAUAAUUCUUGAAGCUUACGGAUUGGGGAUUCCAAAUAAUCAGUCGAUUUUGAAAAUCCAUGGUUGAAUCUUGAGUUAUUUGGGUUUUUAUUUUGAAACCCUUAAGAGAGUUCUUGAGGAAAAUUGAGAGAAAUAAACUUAUUUUGGUGUUAUGGGAGUUUAAUCCAGUGUUAGAUAUGAUAUGGGGUUGAAAACUAUCACAUUUACCCUUAAUGAGUCGGAAGGAAGCUGAAAAUUGACCCCAGGAUAUACCCAGGGCGGAUCCCUUCUUAGUCCACCGCUCUAGCCCAGGCGGUGCCCUGCUUAUAGCCUCUUUCUACUGGUCACGAAAAUGGCAGUAACUUUUCGCUCCAGUAUCGGAUUUUUUCAAAAUUGGUAUCAUUGGAAAGCUAAUUUAAUUAUCUACAAUUUGGUGGGUAUUGGGAUGAAAAUUUCCAUGUAUAUAAAGAGUCAUACACAUUUGAAGUAGACCCUUGUAGAAUCGAAUAUCGAAUUUUGGACUAAUCAAAUGAUCUUAGCUUAACUUUGUUCUAAGUCAUUGCUAUGAACACUUUUCACCUGUAAACUACUUCAUAGAUUAGGAUAAUGAUCAUGAAACUUGUAUUCACAUUCAAAUCAUUUGGAUUAGAGCUUAGACGUGUAGAAACGACGAUUUAAUUUCUAGUUCGAAAAUGUGGGGUGUUACAUUAUCUCCCCCUUGGGAUCAUUCGUCCCCGAAUGAUAGGUAGGAACUUGUUGAAGCUUAAAGGUAUGGAAUAACGAGGACAUAAUGUGUCCUCUAAGAAAUAUAUAUCCGAUCUGAAAUAUUUAAACUUCUAUCAUGAAAUUGAAUUUUGAGCAGACUUGACUUUACCUGCUUCAAGAAGCUGAUUCAUGCUGAGAGUUUAGGAUUCCCUUAAAGUAUUCAUGAUCCAAUUAUACAUAUUGAGUUGAGAAGUGAUAACUUAUGAAAGUACGAACCAUGAGACAACCAGACUUAGGUCACACAAGGGUAUUACACUGUAUGAGCUAAAAUACUUAGAAAUUUUGAGAUUAUGCACUGAACUUUUAUGCACCGAGCCUUGACCAAAUAGCUGAAUCUAAAACAUGAUGCUUGGAAUGAACUGAAUUCACAAUUUACAUGGAUGGAAUAGGUUAUAUCCUGGGGUGGUCAUAUAUAUGAGACUUCGGAUAGUAAGACUGCGUGAAAAGGUGGAAAACCACAGUAACUAAUUAGCCUGACUGUCAAACUGAAUUGCUGGCUAUACAGACUGAAUUACACUAGACACUUAUACUUAACUUGAGUAUUCCUUGAACACCCUUUCUAAAGAAGUCCUAGUAGCCGUAGAAAGCAAGGAAUCUUGGGAAUGAGUUACAAAAGACAUCCAACUAGGGAAUCACAACAAUGACAUUACUCUUUAACACGGAAUAUAGACAUAUAACUCAUAAACUAGGAUAGAAUUACCACACCUUAAGCAAAAAAACUUCUUACUUUCAGGUUACCCACACUUCUAAAAUACUCUCUCAACUAUAGUUUUCCCCUUAAAUAUCAUGCUCAUUGAUUCCACUUAUUUUUCUCACAUAGACGCUGAUAUCUCCAUCUACUAAUGUCUAAACUUAACUAAAUCCUCUCACUAUCUUCAAGCCUAACUCAAACCAUAAGACACACCACAUAAUACUGUAGUACUAGUCUGAAUCAUAAAUUCAGUAUACCCUUCAUUUCACAAUUCCUCAUCUCAUGCAUAAUUCUUAUUGCCACUCCCAUAAUCACCUUCAACUUCUGAUUAGACAUUCACAAACACUCAAAGCAUCCAUCCGUAUGUAAACAAACAUGACAUUCAAGCCUAUAUUCUUACCCACAUAUGCACUUCUAAACAAAAACUCAUAAAGCACCUUCCUCAUAUUCUCUAAUACUUCUAUCCAUAACAGCUUCCCUAUACUAUUCAGAUGAUACACACAAAAUAUUCUCAACUAACCGAGCCAUACAUGAAACUUCACCUCAAAAUUCUUUCAAACUUACAGACUUGGAGUCAAUCUUACUCCACAAUUACUGCCUUAUCUCAACUAAGCAUACAACCAUAUUUCCUUAAUAAGAAAUGUUUACUCUCUCCCAUCUAGACAAUUGUUCAUCAACACUAUCUCGACCUACGGGAAAGGUCACUGAAAAGUUGGAAUAUCGGGAUUCAGAACAUGAGGGGAUUACUAAGCAUAACUUGAUACCCUUUUGAGGCAUGAGAAAUAGAGCACUCAUGGCAUGGACUCAUUAAAGAGGUCUAAUCUGAGGAAGUACCCAACUGGGAACUCAUCAUACUAGAAGCUAGAAGAGUACAUGAUUCCCUAUCAUAUCCAUGAAUAUGAACUAUGAUCGUGGAGCUGAAACAUAAGUAUGAGUAUGUAUCGGAAUAAAUGAAGCAAACUGCUGAAAUAAGAAUACAUUAAGCAUCACUCUUCUCACGGCUAUUCCACCACUUACUGGCACAACAAUUAAAAUUUGAACGCUUAACUUGAUUACUCGUUCUAUCAUCUCCACCUUAGAUUCAAGCCAUCACUCUAAGUCGGUGAACCACUGUAUACACGCUGGUAUAACUGAAAUCACUCUACUCUAGAGUCUGGGAUAUACAAUACACAUAAAACUAAACUUACUUUGAAAGACAGUAUCUUCGUAUAUAAUACCCAAUACUAAUAUCUCCUUCCAAGAUUCAACCCUUAGGCUUCUAUAGCCCCAAAAGUCGUUAUAUAACAACUUAAACAUUCACCAACUUAGAUUCUAACACUAAACAUGGAUAUCAUCAACCUCCAACACAUCAUACUUCUUCCGUCAAAUUCUACCGGUAUCGCUUCUCAAAACCUUUAUCUCUCCCCUAAUCCAUGAGAACCAAAAUCAUACCUAAAAAGGCUCAACAUCCUUAAUCAUAACUCCAUAACUUAGCUAUCACGAACAUCACAUAUUAUUUAACUAGUCUUUCUCCACCUAGCAACUUAAUGGUACUACUAAUCCACACAACAUGCAAUGAUCCUCAAAAAUAACACAUCCCCAUAGCACCUUGGGCGUACUUCUACAUCAUACUUACAACACCAGACUUGAUUUUGAAUCAAAUAAACUUAAGAUCUUGUAUACACUAUUCAAGCCUACUAGGUUAUUUUCACACAACUAACAUCUACUACAUUAUUCAUUAUACCCACCUUGAUCACCAUCUACUAUUCCAACUUAGUGUUUAGUUCUAGCUACGAAGAACCAUAACUUUACACAAUAUUCUUACAUGCCAAACAUCUGAAAACAUUAACCAACCAAAACUUCAUAACAGUAAGGAUCAAUCACAAUCCUAUGAUCUAUCUUAUUUAAAACCCAUUAAUAUGUCCUCCUUCUACACAAUAUUACUAUCUACCCUGAUACAACUAAAAUUAGGGAAAAACUCUAUAAGUCUCAAUUAAGCUCCCUUUUAUAAUCUUAGGGGCAUCUAAUUCAAUGACACUCUUCCACCAAGUACCUUCAUCAAUAAACUACACCUUCCUUGCUCACAACAAACACCGUCAACAACUCUUUUCAUACUUCAAGCAAUCAACAAUUCACCUUAACUAAUAACUCCUUCUCUACCUUCUACUAAACUAAUAUACAAGGACGUAUCACUUCACUACUAACUCACUCUCAUGCAAAAAGAUUCAACUAUACAUAUAUUUAACCAACACCAGAACAAAAAACUACUAGUGAAUCAAAAUAGGCCUCACACGGCUUCACUAGACUUUGAUUUUUGUGUUUUGAACAAGAAAAAGAAGAUAAAUGACAAGGAAACUAUGCUAGUAGAUCGAAAGAGCCCCACACGACUUCAACAGACUUUGAUUUUUUUUUUACAGAAACACCAUGAUAACAAGAUUGCAUAGUAUAAGAGAUAGAAAAUUAACAUACGAUGUUCAAUGAUCUAGGAAUACACAUCUUACUCUGUAUAAAUAGAAAUUUGAGUCAAACACAUCCCCCACAGACUACCAUACAAUCCACACAUACUACUAGCUACCAUAUUAGUCUACCACUAUAGAGAGGUUAAUCAUCCUCAAACACCGGUUAUUCAAUUAAAAUAUUUAUUUACACAAAAGUCGCCCUCACUCUGACUUCUAACUCUGUGACUUCAUAUCACUAGCUUCUUGGUCUAAUCUUACUCCCAAUUGGUCAUGACACUGACACUUUAACUUAUACUACUAUUUGGGUGGAAAUGCAGUUCCAACAUUCUUCUACACAUUAUUCCCUCUGAAAUAUGACAUCUGUAACAUAAAUUUUGAAAAGGACCGAAUACUCUUAAUACUGCAGGCUGAAAAGCAUGAUUUUAUUAAGAUCAAGGUUCACACCAGAACCAAUACACUCUGAAGAAGUAAAGAACUCUUUCCAAGUCCUUGCAAAACUCUUAUAUGAUUCAAUCAGAAAGAACCAUACCAUUUAGACUCUAAACUUCUGUACUUGAAUUAUCCCAAUAAUGAGACAUAUAUGAGAAUAUCAGAGAAAGGAAAGAAUUGGGAUGACUGUUACUUUCGUAUUGGCGACACCAUAGCAUGAAUUAGAGUAUGAAAGAGGAACAUUCUGACUUUGUUGCAUGAACUAGAACAUGAAGAAAGAGAGACAUUCCUAAACGCCUUAUAGCCUCCUACUUAUAAGUGUGGUGCACUACACACCCAUAAACAAGACUCUACCCGACACGAUUUCACAGAAACCCUGGGAUCAUGAACAGUUCUCUGAUACAAAGUUUGUUACGACCUAAACUAGGGCCUGGCCAUGAUGGACAUCCCAAACCAUGAAGGAACGAAAUGCCCCUCUCUAUAUAGUAAUCAUGCAUAACAUUCAUAUAAUAAAAGAAGAUACGGAAACAUAAUCUGCUACGGAAACAUGGUCAAUUAUAAAUUCAAUAUAAGUAUGGAAACUGUAAACCAACUACAUAUGAAUAACAUCUGACUCAGUCUGCAAAAUCUCUACUAGAUGGAAAUCUAACAACUGUCUGAAACUGGGACAAGGCCCCUAGUAGACCAAAAUGAUAAUGAGUGACAUAAUAUGAAAGGACAGGCCUUCUGGAAUAGAGAAGGCUCACCACUACAUAAUCUGAUCAGCUGUCUGAAUUAUCUACUGCUUAUCUGGACCCCUAGACCGAACCUCAGAACCUGGAGAAAGGAGGGGGUUAAUAUAGAUGUACUAGUACGCAAAGCAUUCCAAAAUAAAGCUUUUAUAUAAAUAAAAUAAUGAAGAGCAAUUUGUCAAAACAUCAUACAUAAAAUAGUUUUCGAAACACAUGGGCACCUUUUUGAAAAUCAUAAAUCAUUCUUGACAAUGUAGUUCCUGUUCUUCAUUUUAAUUCUGAGCUAGGAGGUACACCCCUACAAUUCUAAAAUCCCACGGACUGUAUGGAAUCCGCCAUUGACUCGGCAGGGAAGCCCCCAACCCAAGUGUGCCGCAUGGGUUGGAGUUUCUAUUCUGAUAUGCCACACAACACUAGGCCAACAUAAUAUAAUAUACCCAGAUCAGAAAAUCAUGGUUUCGGGCAAUGAUUUGCCUGAACUCGUGCCUUCUUCGGGGAACCACUUAAGCUCUCUUUACGCCCAAUUUUAUCCUGUUCUAAAUCAUGCAUUUUUUUUCUAGUUUCAACAUCUGAAAAGUUUGAUUUCAAACGUGCAUUCUAUUCUAUUCUGAAUUACCAUGGCAUAAUCUAAAUUGGUGUCGUCACACCAAGACUUGCAAGUACUAUUUCUGAGCUAUAAUGUAUCAUGCAUAAUUCUUUUAAUAAAACACAGGUCAGACCACCCAAAUAUGCAAUUAGUAUAAGAGAUAUUAUGUUUCGAAACUCAAGUCAAAACUAUGUAAAAACUGUCAUCAAGCAUAUGGUGGUCAUGUAUUUCGGCAAGCAUGCAACUCUUUCAUUAAAUGAAUAUUCAACUUUUAUCAAUAUGUACAAAUCUCUCUUUCGAAUUCAAAACCAUAAAUCAAAUUGUAGCAUUAAUCAAGAUAUUUCAUAUCAUGCUUUUCAAGAUACAAAACAAUCCAUAUCAUAUGAAAAUUGAAAAAAUAAUAUCAAGAGAGGGAUUCAUGUGAGUCAUGCUCUCAAUUCAUUCAUAAAUCAUAAAACUUAUGCAUACGUAUAUAUAUGUAAUUUAAAUCCAUUUGGGGGAGGGCCUAAAGACCAAAACAACGUCAUCAAGACUUCUAAAACAUAUUUAUAUUCGUAAAUCCAAAACCCCUUUUCUUAAAACAUGAUUUCUAUGCCCAUGAUAUUUUUAGGAAAACCCCGCGUACGUUAAUACCGGAAGAUAAUAGGUAAUUCUUGAAGCUUACGGAUUGGGGAUUUCAAAUCUUUAAUCACUUUUGAAAAUUCACAGUUGAAUCUUGAGUUAUUUGGGUUUUUAUUUUGAUACCUUUGAGAGAUUUCUUGAGGAAAAUUGAGAGAAAUAAAAUUAUUUUGGUGUUAUGGGAGUUUAAUCCCGUGUUAGAUAUGAUAUGGGGUUGAAAACUAUCACAUUUACCCUUAAUAGGUUGGAAGAAAGCUGAAAAUUGACCCCAGGCUAUACCCAGGGUGGAGCCCUGCUUAGUCCACUGCUCUAUCCCAGGCGUAGCCCCCCUUUAGAGCACCGUUCUAGCUCGGGCGGUGCCCUGCUUAUAGCCUCUUUCUACUGGUCACGAAAAUGGCUGUAACUUCUCACUCCGGUAGCGAAUUUUUGUAAAAUUGCUAUAGUUGGAAAGCUAAUUCAAUUAUAUAAAAUUAGGUGGGUCUUGGGAUGAAAAUUUUCAUGUAUAUAAAGAGUCAUACACAUUUGAAGUAGACCCUUGUAGAAUCGAAUAUCAAAUUUUGGACGAAUCAAGUGAUCUUAGCUUAACUUUGUUCUAAGUCAUUGCUAUGAACAUUUUUCAACUCUAAACUACUUCAUAGAUUAGGAUAAUGAUAAUGAAACUUGUAUUCACAUUCAAAUCAUUUGGAUUAGAGCUUAGACGUAUAGGAACGAUGGUUUAAUUUCUAGUUCGAAAAUGCGGGGUGUUACAAACAUGCCCAGCUGACUCAUAAUGUCUAAAAAUAAUACUAAAAUAAACCUACUAAUGAAACUGAAAAUCUGAAAACUAAGUCCCCAAACUAUGAGGACUCACUAACUGCAAGGAUGUAGAUGAGAUACUCGAAAAUCACUGUCACUGCUGAGAUUGAGCACCUGAACUUACAUUAUGUGAUAUAUGUGGAUUAGUACUUAGAGGAUGUACUGAGUAUAUGGGGGUGCAUGUAAUAAAUAAACAAUUUCAUCAGAAUUUAUAAAUGGCCAAAAACAUCGAUAGGCACUCAAAGUUGUUGCCAAAAUUCACUUAGACACCUAAACUAAGGUUUGUUCCUAUCAGGCCCCUAAACCCCCCACAUUUUGUUCCAAUUGGGCCUUUUUUGCCCUAUUAGCAAAAAGCUCAAAGUGUGUAUUGCACACACGCGAUGAUGUGGCAAAAUGAGCUAAUUGGAAGCUGAUACGUGGCAUUGUGGGUCCAAUAAUUAUUAAAAAUUAAUUAUAACUUUUUUAAAAAAGUUAUAUAAAAAUGGCAUUGAGGAAAUUAUUAAAAAAUAAUUCUAAAAUUAUUUUAAUAAAAUUGUUUAUUUAAAAAAUAUUAUAAUGUCCUUAUAAUACAAAAAACAAAUUAUAGUUUCUAAAAAUCAGUUUUUAAAAAGAAAUAUUAUAAAAGUCAGUUUUUUUAAAAACUAUAAUAAUCAGUUUUUUAAAAACUAUAAAAUUUUAGUUUUACAAACUAUAAUUUUUGAUUAUUAAAAACUAUAAUAAUCAGUUUUUUGUAAAAUUAUAGUUUUUAAAAAACUUCAUUUUUUUGUAUUAUAGUUUUUAAUAAUCAAUUUUUAAAAAGAAAUUAAAAAAUAUUUUUAAAAAGAAAUUAUAAAAUUUUUAAAAAAUAAAAAUAAAAAAUGGCAUUGAGGAUCCAAAUUAUNNNNNNNNNNNNNNNNNNNNNNNNNNNNNNNNNNNNNNNNNNNNNNNNNNNNNNNNNNNNNNNNNNNNNNNNNNNNNNNNNNNNNNNNNNNNNNNNNNNNNNNNNNNNNNNNNNNNNNNNNNNNNNNNNNNNNNNNNNNNNNNNNNNNNNNNNNNNNNNNNNNNNNNNNNNNNNNNNNNNNNNNNNNNNNNNNNNNNNNNNNNNNNNNNNNNNNNNNNNNNNNNNNNNNNNNNNNNNCCCCCUCCCCCACCUCCGACGUUCCUUUUCUCCAUUAAACUUCUCUGUGAAUCUAAAAAAUACACACAUACAAUUAGAGUGUAGGGUUGGCUGGUCCGUUUAUGUUAUAAUUGCAUAAUUUUUAUCUUAUUGUCAUGGAAAAAGCUGUAUCUUCGGUCUUCUAACAAAUACUUCUGCUAUUCUUUUUACAGCCCUCCUAUCUGAUACUCUUGAAUGAAGAAUGAGGAUGGAUCUUGGGAUUCGUUUUUGAUGUUAUAUGAAUUUUUAUUCUGCUCCUGUGCUGGAUCUUUCAUUAAUUACUAUUGAUCUUCUAGGGGUGGGGUAGGGUUAAAGAUGAAGAGGGUGGGGUGGGGUGGGGUGUUGUGAAGAAGAUGACAUGUAAUUUAGUAAAACAAAAAUUCCUCACGCGCCUACAGCAAGUGCAUUGCACACGCAGUGCCAUGUAGGCAAAAAAUGCCCAAUUGAAACAAAAUGUGGGGGGGUUUAGGAGCCUGAUAGGAACAGGCCUUAGUUUAUGUGUCUAAGUGAAUUUUGGCAACAAGUUUGAGUGCCUAUCGAUGCCUUUGGCCUUUAUAAAUCAUGCAUGCUAAAUGUAAAUGACUCACAUAGCUCGAGUAAAUCUGAAAUACUGAAAUUUGAAAGAGUGGAUAAUAAAGAACAUAUUCUAAAUCUUGUGAGUUAUUACACUUAGUUCUAAAAAUUUGUAUUCUCUUCUUGUUCUCAAUUCAUGUAAACUUGAAGAAAUCUGAGACUCAUUUUGCAUAGCAAUUACUUUAUCUCAAUACUUUAAACAUUUAAACCGUUUUAAGAACGGGGGACGUUUUGGGAGGUUCUUCUAACCGACAUGUACAACAUAUGAGCAUCCAUGGUGUCCCACGACUAGCCCCUGUAAGGUUAGGGCUAUUCUGCCCUUACCAUCGAAAUAGAACAAUUUAUCUCAGUGAUCACUAUCUUUGUCAUCCACGUAUAGUGGGAAUAAAUAUCUCAACCUACGGUGAUACAUAGUUCAAGGGUAUGAAACCGUAGUAAUAUAACCAACUUGGCGCUUAAUUAUAACACCCCAAUUUUCUGAACCGAAAUGCUACAUGGUGCUCAUAACCCCGAAGGACCACAAGCUAACCCAUGAUUGAUAUCUGUACCUGUAUACUGCAUAAUAUAACAUGAAAAUACGGAAACAUGUACUGAAUGGCCAUAAGGUUCAAACCUAAAUAAAUAUCUGAUAAUAACAAUAUCUGAAAACGGUAUAACAAUAUCAAAAUAAAUCUGAAAUAACUGUCUGACAUAUUAUAGUCUGGAAAGCCUCUAAACUGUCUAAAUAAGGAGUUGAUGGGACAUGUCUCCAACUAACUACAACUACUGAAAUAAACUGAAGACUGAAAUAAUAAUGAAAUCAUCAUGUCCUCGAAAGAUGAGGACUUACUUCUAACUCUGACUGUUGUGACUGGAAUCUACUGCUGAUCUGGAGCUCGUGUCUCUGAACCUAUGGCGUAAAAUAAAAUGCCAUAGAAUAAAUACGUCAGUACGUCUGAAUGUACUGAGUAUAUGAGUGAGGUAGGCUAAAUGCAAAGGGUUAUAUGCAUGAACAAUGCUGACUAAUAUGAGCGUGAUAAUACAUACAUACAUAAGCAACUAUAACUGAACUCGUGGUGAUAUUGACUACAGAAUCUGAAUACUGACGACAUGACUUUGCUGAUACUGAGGUACUGAAUAGAUAAACGACUAUUUUUGACAGUUUAAAUUAAGAAAAAAUGGUCUGAUCGACUGUGUCUAACAAUCCUGAACUGAAUACUGAUAACGUAUCUAUGAUGACUGAUAUAACUGAUAUAACUAUGAUGAUUGGCGUAACCGAUAUAACUGAUAUUGAGCGACUGUAUCUGACAGUCUAAGUUCAGAUGGAACUAUCUGAGUUCCAUUUUGUAUGGAGUAACUAAAUCUGAGAUCAGUCCUAUCUAGUGGGUGAUCUUUAAGUAUACUGAUAAUAAAGAUGAUUUGACUUAGUCUGAUAUCAGUCCUAUCUAGCAAGUGAUCUUUAAAUCUGAUGAUUCUGAUACUGAUUAACCAUAGUUGAGAUCAGUCCUAUCUAAUGGGUAUUCUUGAAGACUAUUUAUAAUGAUAAGUAUUGACUGUAUCUAACAGUACUGAAUCUGUACUACUGAGCUGAGUUGACUGUGUCUGACAGUCAUGAAUCUGUAACUAAAAUGGUAGGAUGUAUUCAUCUAACCGAAAUGCCCCAUGCUAAGCUGACUGAGGUCCAAUCUCUUCCCUGACUGGAAGGGUGUUAGUACUGCGCCACCAGUAAAGACAACUACUGUAGAGUCAGUCCUAAUUUAGUGGGUGACCCCUGGUACCAGUCCUAUAUAUAUAAAUAUGAUGACGGGUGAUCCCUGAGUAUGUCAGUACUAUUUAAUGGGUUACAUCUCGUACCUACACUGGCUCUGUAGUUUUGGAACUUAGGGAUCUCAGUCCUAUUCUAGGGGGUGAGCCCCCAUCCGUAGGUUCGCUCGGUGCUGAAUCCUACUCCCAUAUGAAAGGUACUGAAUUGAUUAACUGAACUAAUACUAGUGUUAUUGUUUACCGAAGUGAAACUGAGUUUACUGAGUUCCUUUGACUGACGGAACAUACUGAGUUCUGAUUGCUAACUGAGUUCAUGAGAUUACUGAUCUUACUGAGUACUAUUUUAUGAGAUUUCUGAGAGUACUAAAUUAUGGAUAUUACUGAAGUUUACUUAGUACUGAGAUUACUGAAAUUAACCGAGGUUACUGAACUGGUGAGACUACUGAGAUUUCUGAGUUUUCCUGAGUCACAUGACUGAUUGAAUUCUAUAGAUCAUGGCUUGACUGAGAUUAUCGUGAUAACAUGACAUGGCUCUAGGCACACAACUAUAUUUUUUGGGUACGAGUACCCCCAGGACUCGAUGGAAGGAAACUGACAAGACUUGACAAUUCUUGAAUACAUAAUCAAGAUCAACAAUUCAUAACACACUAACUUGGGGAUUUCAUACAACACAUGGUUAUCAUAUUCUUGUUCAUGAAUAAGAAUGCAAACAUUCAUAGCAUAAUUCCAUACUUUAACAUCAUGAACAUUCUAUCAACAUAUGCAUGUCACAACAAUAACAUGGGAACCAUUUAAGCAUGAGAGAGUAGUAUGGAUUUAUCAUGUAGGUCAUACUUUAGCUAUUAUUCAUGAAUUCUAGGAUCUUAGGCCUUUUAUCAAACACCUUUCAUGCACACUUUAUGGCAUAGGCAUAUUCAUCACAUUAAUGAUUCAAACUAACUAAAAUUCAUAUAUUUCAAUUUACAUGUCAUCCUAGUUUCAUAAAAUCACAUAAAUAUUCUAACUUGGGAGUUCUAUAGCAAUCAAUCACACAAACAUAAUAAAACCACAACAUGACUUCAUGAUUCAUAAUUUAAAAGAGGGUUCUUGAACUCAAUGGAUGAAAGGGAUCCAUAAAUCAACACUAUGCAUACCUUAGUUCUUGAUUUAGUGAAGAUUGAUGGAGAGAUUCUUGGAAUUUGAUGGUAUAAUUUGCUUGAACUUGAAUCCCCUAAUUGAAACCCUAGCUUGCUCUUGAGAGGAUUUUAAGACAAGAGGUUAAAUUUUGGUGUAAUGGAGGCUUAAUCCCAUGUUAUUGAGUAUAUAUAUGAAGGCAAAAUGAUCAAAAUACCCCUAAGAGCACAGAAAUGGAAUGCUGAAAUACUGGGCAAGCACUGGAGUUCACAGGCGGUGCCUGGCUAAUCCCGGGGGACUUUCCCAAGCGGCUCCUGCCUUAGAGCAGUGCUCUAGCUGGGGCGACGCAGGCCAAUUGCCCCGAGCUACUAUUUUUGAAAUCCAAACACGCCCUUACGCUAUCCAAAAAAUUCCAAAAUUUACCUGAGAUGUACUACAACCUUGCCCCAUCGUAACAUAACUUGAAAAUCUAAAAAAGAAGGUCGAGAAGGUCAUCAAAUAAAUUCCCGAAGUUUGGAGGUCUAACGUGAUACUAAGUGUUGAAUCUUGAACACUUAGCAAAAUUUUCUAAGUCCUGGAGCUUGGAAAGCUUAAUGAGCUGAACUUUAGACUUAGGAUUUUACGGGGUAUUACAAUAUCUCCCCCUUGGGAAUAUUCAUCCUCGAAUGAGUCUGACUGAGAGGAAAAACAAUAAGCUGAACAUGAAUGACUAAAAUAUGAUCUCAUGACUAACAUGACAAAUAAACUGAUUCAUACUAAACAUGCAUAUCUGAUGCAUGGGUAACUUAUUAGUGAAUGUAGGACUGAGGAUUUUGAUAAACUGAAUUUUCUCAAAAUGAGAAUGCAUAUCUAAUGUAUAAUUGGAAAGCUGAAUCCAUGCAUAUCUGAUGCAUGAUUACAUGAUUGACAUAACUGAUAAACUGAUCACGCAUAUCUGAUGCGUGAAUACAUGACUGAACUAACUCAUGAACGUGCGACUGAACAUGCAAUGGUAAAGGCACUAAGAUUGAACUGAAAUAUGAGAAAAUGACUGAGUUUGCUACAUGACAUAUGGAUUGAACAUCAUGAACUGAACUGAACCUUUGAAUACUUGACUUACAGCUGAGGUUUUGACUUAAGGGUCAACUUAUGAGUCCCCUCUAUUCUAAAUUGAAUUUGUUAUGCAAUGAGAAACUGAAGGAUCUAAGACAUAAGAGCAUUAAGAAAAGGUGGGGUAUCUCCCCCUUGGGAUGCUAUGUCCCUCUAAAAAUGCUUACCUUACGGAGAUAUUGGGGUGAUGCACAGGGCAUCUAUGAACUAAUUUAUAACUAAACCUCGGGAGUCUGGAACUAAUGCCUGAUGCCUGAGCUGAACUGAACUUGCUGGUUUUACUAACUAACUCAUGCUGAAACAUAUGCUCAAAUAAGAGAAAAAUAUCUAACAAUGCAUACCAUGAACAUGAAAGACUUGUAACAUACCCGAAUCUAGGUCAGGAAAACUUUUCGGAUCAUGACGGGUCUGGAGAGCAUAAAGUCUAUUCUGACGCUGACCACUCUUUGUACCUUGCUGACGCAACUCUUUACCCCUCUGUGCUAGAAGUCUAUACUCUCGCAUCCUGUGGCCUAUAUUGCCACACCCAAAGCAUAAAUUACUGCCUGCUCUACAUGCACUUAGAUGAUUCUUACACACUCUUCGCAAGGAGGAUAGGUAAGACUUCUAUUUUUACUACCCUGGGUCUCGGAGCCUGGCACCCUAUCAUGACAGUCAUUUUUGGAGUUAGGUACUGGUGUACAAGUUGAGGAUGGAGCUGGGACUGAAAACUUCUGACCAUGCUAAGAAUGGUUACCACCCUGUGACUUAGGCUGAGCAAAGAUGAAACUACCUAUCCUUGGUCUCUUACUCUAUCUCUCUCUCAUCCUAAUCUUCUACUCCUCUAUCUUCUGAGCAUGAGUCAUAAUUUUGGAUAAAGUCAUAUCACUAUUCAACAUGGCAGAUCUGCACUCGUUUACCAUAUUAUCAUUUACCCCUGACACGAACUUACUCAUCUUGGCUCUACAGUCUGCAACUACAUGAGGGGCAUAUUUGGAUAAUUGAGUAAACCUGAGAGAAUACUCUUUCACCGUCAUAUGGCCCUGCCUGAGGUUGAUGAACUCUAGAACCUUAGCUUCUCUAAACUCUAGCUGAAAAAAUCUAUCACCAAAAGCAGAGGCAAACUCCUCCCACUAUAUAAAACCUGCAUCAUCUAACCUUUCUGACUUCCACUGUUUGUCCCAAGUAUGAGCCAUAUCCUGAAACUGAUAUGCGGCUAACUCAGGGUAUUAAAAUAUCUCCCCCUUGAGAACAUUCAUCCUCGAAUGAGAGGGAAACAAUAAGCUGAACAUAAACUAAACAUGAGUAACUAGAACAUGAUCUCAUGACUAACUUGAUUGACAAGCUGAACAUAUAAUACUGAACAUGCAUAUCUAAUGCAUGUGUACUGAUUCAUGAAUGCAUGACUGAGUAUUCUGAGGAACUAAGUUUUCUCGCAAUGAGAAUGCAUGUUUGGUGCAUAAUCAUAUAACUGGACUGAUACAAGUAUGCAUGACUAAAUAUGCAAAGGUACUUGAUACCAAGUUUAUAAUGGGAACAUGAGUAUGAAACUGAUACCAAUUUUGUGAUGAACACAGAACAUGAAACUGAGUAAGCUUAAGGAGAAUUGUUACCUUGAGCUUGAUCUUAGUUUACGGAGAAGAGGUGAGGAUACUUGGUAUGCAUGUCUGCUUCUGUUUCCCAAGUAGCUUGCUCAAUGGACUGAUUUCACCAAAGAACUUUAACUAGAGGGACUUCUUUGUUCCUCAAUCUAUGAGUCUGAUAGUCUAGGAUUUCGACUGGAAUCUUCUCGUAAGAGAGGCUACUCUGAACAUCUAUGCUCUGAAAAGGGAAUACAAUUGAUGGGUCACCUAUGCACUUCUUGAGCAAAGAGACAUGGAAGACUGGAUGAAUUGAGGCUAGAUCUGAAGGCAACUCGAGCUCAUAAGCUACUUUGCUAAAGCGACUGAGAAUUUUGAAGGGAUUGGCAUAUCGGGGACUGAGCUUUCCCUUCUUCCAAACCUCUUCACUCCCUUCAUGGGAGAGAUCUUGAGGUAGACAUAAUCACCAAUCUCAAACUCGAGAUCCUUUCUACGAACAUCUGCAUAAGACUUCUAUCGGCUCUGAGAAGCCUGGAGUCUUUCUCUAAUUAACUGGAAGUUUUCUAAGGCAUCGAAUACUAAGUUAGGCCUUAUAACUGAGGCCUCACUAACUUCGAACCAACCAAUUGGAGAUCUAUAUCUCCUACCAUAGAGAACUUUGAAUGGAGACAUCUUAAUACUGGAAUGAUAGCUGUUGUUGUAUGCAAACUCAAUCAAAGGCAAGUGGUCAUCCCAACUACCCUUGAAAUCAAUUUCACAUGCUCUUAGCAUAUUUUCUAGAGUCUGAAUGGUCCUUUCUGCUUAAACAUCUAUCUGAGGAUGAAAGGCUGUACUGAGAUGGACUUGGGUACCAAGACCCUUUUGGAAUACUUUCCAGAAAUAAGAGGUGAACUGGGUACCUCUGUCUGGGAUAAUAGAGAACGGAACGCCGUGCAAUCUGACCAACUCUUUGAUGUAGAGUUUGGCGUAGUCCUCGGCUGAGUAAGAGGUAUGAACUGGAAGAAAAUACUCUAUUUGGUCAUUCUAUCUAUAAUGACCCAUACUGAAUCAUGCUGAUGAUGAGUUCGAGGCAAACUCUUCACGAAGUCCAUGUUCACUUCUUCCCACUUCCAAGUAGGAAUAAUGAACUCCUACAUAGGACUACUAGGCUUUUGAUGCUCUGUCUUAGCCUGCUGACAUGUGGAGCACUUAGACACAAACUUUGCAAUAUCUCUCUUCAUCCUACUACACCAAUAGACCUCCCAUAAGUCGCGGUACAUCUUUGAGGCCCUUGGAUGAAUGGAGUAGUGCACACCAUGCUUUUCUGCAAGAAUUCGCUGCCUUAAGUCAUCUAAAUCUGGAACUCUUUCAACUUGGCAAGGCCGGGAUCACUAUCUUACUUUUCUUUUACCUCGAAAACUAGAGAUGAUUCUGAACUACUCUGAACACAAAUGCCACCCUCUGAGGAAUCGACUAAGGGAAUGCCUAGUCUGGCAAGAUGAUGGACUUCUUGAGCUAACUUCUUCUUACUAUCUUUAACAUGAGAAACACUACCCAUAGAGAGUCUACUGCGAGCGUCGGCCACUACGUUGUCCUUGCCUAGAUGAUAAAGGACACUCAUGUCAUAAUCUUUCAAGAGCUCUAGCCACCUUUUCAGACGAAGAUUGAGAUAUUUCUCAGAAAAAAUAUACUGGAGACUCUUAUGAUCAGUGAAGACACCUAUAUGAACUCCGUAGAGAUAGUGACUCCAAAUCUUUAAGGAAAAUACUAUGGCUGAUAACUCAAGAUCAUGAGUAGGAUAAUUCUUCUCAUAGGGUUUAAGCUGUCUGGAAGCAUAGGAUAUGACCUUAUCAUGUUGCAUGAGUACACAACCCAAACCUACUCUGGAUGCAUCACAAUACACUAUGAACCCAUCUGAACCAUCUGGAAGAGCUAAAACUGGAGCUGAGAUGAGUCGAGUCUUCAACACUUGAAAAAUCUUAUCACAAGGAUAUGACCACUGAAGCUUGACUUUCUUCUGAGUCAAUCUGGACAUAGGGGAGCAACAGAAAAAAUCCCUUAACAAACCAUCUGUAAUAGCUAGCCAAACCUAAAAAACUCCUGAUAUCUGAUGGAGAGACAGGGUGAGGCCAGUUUCUUACUGCUUCAAUAUUUUGAGGAUCUACACUAAUGCCAUUAUCGGAAAUGAUAUUGCCAAUAAAUGCUACUGGCCUUAGACAAAAUUUGCAUUUAUUGAAUUUGGCAAAUAGCUGAUGAUCUCUGAGAGUCUGAAGUACUGUUCUGAGAUGGUUUUCAUGAUCGCGCUCAGUGUAGGAAUAGACCAAAAUAUCAUCUAUGAAGACUAUGAAGAACAUAUCCAAUUACUGAUUGAAUACAUGGUUUAUCAAUUCCAUGAAAGCAGAUGGGGCAUUGGUAAGACCAAAGGAUAUAACUAAGAAUUCGAAGUGACCAUCUAGAAGAUCUGCUAGCUGCUCUUUCAACUCUUUCAGCUCCACAGGAGCCAUCCUAUAUGGCGGAAUAGAGUUGGGACGGGUGUCCAGCAACAAAUCUAUACCAAACUCUAUCUCCCUAUCAGGUGGUACCCCUGGGAGAUCUUCGGGAAAGUCCUCCAAAAAUUCUUUUACCACAGGGACUGACUGAAGAGAUGGACUCUCCACAUUAGAAUCUUUCAAUCAGAUCAGAUGAUAUAGAAAACCUCUGGAAAUGAGCUUACGAGCUCUAAGAUAAGAUAUAAAAUUCCCUCUAGGUGCUAGAGAAUGUCCCUUCCACUCUACCACUGGUUUAUUUGGGAAGGCAAAAGUGACUCUUCGGGUCCUACAAUCUAAUGUAGCAUAACAUAAAUGGAGCCAGUCACUAGGAUAGCAUCAAAGUCAACCAUCUCAAGAUAUAUGAGGUCUACCACAGUAUCUCGGCUAUAGAUGGAUACAAUAUAAUUUCUAUACACCUGUCUAGCUAUAAUAGAAUCUCCCACUGGAGUGAAAACAGAAAAAGGCUCAGCAAUUACAUCGGGCUUAAACCCAAAACCAAUAGUCGUAUAAGGGUUUACAUAGGACAAGGUAGAUCCAAGACUAAGUAAUACAUAUACAUCACGAGAAAAGAUUUACAACGUACUGGUAACUAUAUCUGGGGAAGAUUCUACAUCCUGACGAUUGGUCAAGGCAUACAACCAGUUGCGUCCUCUCUCUGUAGCUGAAGUGGUGCCUUUAGGAACAGGAUCUAUGGAGGCGGCUUGGGACUUAUCUCCCCUUGCAUUACCUCUAGUAGAAGGGUAAUCUCUCUGAAUAUGACCUACUUAACCACAGGAAUAACAAUUCCUCCUCUCAAAGUAACACUUUCCAGGGUGGUUCUUCCCGCAAACACUACAACGGGGAAAAGAUCUUACGAGUUGCGUCAUGCUGCCCCAAGAAUGGGUGUCCUACAUCCUCCACCCACUAUUUACCUGUGUAUUUAAGGGUUGCUGACCACGUGGAGGUCUGGGCAUGGGGGCACUUCCUGCAGGAUGAGAAUUACCCCAAUUCUUUCUCUUCUGACAUCUGUUACUCCAAUUACCACUCUGCAACUGGUUGUGACUUUGGUCUGCUAUCUUGCUCUUUUGCUCUCUUUUCCUACCUGUCCUUUUCCCUUGAUUCAGAGAUUCUCUGCUUAUGCUCCUCUAACUGCUGCAUGUGGAUUGUCAGUUUAGAGAAGUCCACAUCCUUAUUUAGCAUUAACCCCUUACACUCAAGCACUAAGUUAUCUGAAAGGCCAGAUGCAAACUUUCUCAUUUAGGCUCUCAUAUUUCCAGUCAUUUCCAGAGCAUAUCGGUCUAGUUGGUUGAACUUCUGAGUGUAUUCCUUGACACUUAUUUUUCCUUGCUUUAGAUUCUUGAACUCUUCUACUUUGGUCUCCCUCAACUCUAGAGGAAAGAACCUAUCAAGGAAGGCUUCCACGAACUUGUCUCAUACUGUGGGCUCAGCAUUCUCACCCUUCAAAUCCUCCCACUCAUUAUACUACUAAUUUACAACUUCUUUAAGCUGAUAAGUUGCUUACUCCACCCCUUCCACCUCGUCUAUAUGCAUCACUUUAAAAAAUUUCUCCAUCUUAUCCACAAAUUCCUGUAGAUCCACCUCUACUUUGGUGCCAGUAAACUUGGGCGGGUUCAUUCUCAUGAACUGACCCACCCUAGUAGUCUCAGAUAUAAUGAAUGUAGACCCAAUAUAUUAUGAUCGUUUAGUCUGUAUGACCACCAAUUACGCCAGCAUGUGAAUGGACUCUCUGAAUUCUGCAUUAGAAAUGUCCCUCUGGGAAGACUUGGGACGGUUAACAUUUGUUCUUGGAGCCUGAGGAGGACUGGUCAGGACUGGUGGUAUUCUUGGAGUAGGGACAGGUUCUGGGGUGUGAGCUAUGUUAUGGUUCUGUAUCCCAUGAGUGGGAAGGACCUCAUCAGUCUAAGCGUUCUGAUUGUUAGAGAGACGAGGAGGCAUGGCUAUUUUCUGACAUGCAAAAGAUCAUUGAUUAGAGGACAGAUUAGACUCCAAAGCACGAACUGAAUCACAAAGAGGGAAACAUUCCUAAACGCCUAGUAGCCUCCUGCUUAUAAGGGUGGGGCACUACACACUCAUAAAUAAGACUCUACCCAAUGCAAUUUCGCAGACAACUUGGACCAUAAACCGUUCUUUGAUACCAAGUUUUUCAUGACCCAAACCGGGGCCCUAGCCAUGAAGAGCAUCCCAAACCAUAAAGGAUCAGAUGCCAUUCUAACUUGUAAUCACAUACACUGCUCAUAUACAAAAGACAAUGCAGAAAUAUAUAUAUACUGAAAUGGGAACAUGAUCAUAAGUCUGAAAUAAAUUUAACAAUAGAGUAUGUCAUCCAAUACUAACAAAUAGUAUCUAAAAAUCGUCUGCAAAAUCUCUACUACAUGGUCAAUAACAACUAUCUGAAAACUUGAACAAGGCCCCAGUAGACCAAAAACCAUAACAAAUGAUAAAUGUCUAGAAAUAAUCAGGCCUUCUGAAUUAUAGAAGGCCCACCAACUGGACUCUGCGCUUCUGCCUAACAGAAUCUACUUCUUAUCAGGACCCCUGGAUUGUUCCUUAGAACCUGAGAAGGAGGGGGGUCAAUACAGAUGUACUGAUACGCAGAGUAAUCCAAAAACAAAAUAUAAUCUUUAUAUAACAUAUAUGAGAGCUGGUAUAAAAUACUUUAUCACAAAACAAUUUAAAAACACAUGGGCAUAGUAUAAUGAUUUUUCAAUGACAAUGCAAUACUACUGAGCUAGGUGGUACACCCAACAACUUUAUAUUUUCACCAACUGCCAAAUCUCGAUUGCCGCCCAGAUUAGAAUAUGAGUGAGGGAAGGACACAAAAGAUCAGACAAUAGGGUGCCAUACCCCAAUUAAGUCAAUAUGUCGUGGUUGGGCUCAAGAUCACAAAGCAGGGAUCCUAACCAUUGGUCCCAAUUUGGGAUGACAUAAUAGUAGGUACGCAAGAUCACAUAGAAGGGUACCAAAUUCCCGUGUCGGCAAUCACGAUUUCCAUCAUAGAUUCAUUUGACUAGUGCUUUCUUUGGGUAACCACCUAACUCACAUAAAAAUAAGCUUUAAGCUUGAUUCAAGACAAAGCAUACAUCUUACUCUACAGGGUAUCGUCAUACCCUGACUUGCAAGUCAUCGGUACCACAUCAAUUCAUCAUCUCGUUAUGUAAUUCAUGGUAUGCACACACAUAAUACUUCCACACCUCAAACACAUGAACAAUGGUUCUCAACAUGUAAUAAUUCAAGAAAUUUUUAUCAUUUAUAAAGUAGUAUCAUAGUAGUUACAAAACCCAUUAUCAUGGGAAUAAACAUUAUCAUGGGGAAAUUUAAAGAGUUCACAAUUUAUAUUCAUCACAUCCUUUUUAAUUCAAUUCGCAUGUCCACAAAUUCAACACAUUGAGAUAUAUGGCAAACAAUCCCAUGAUAUUUCAAUAUUCCUUUCAAAAUCAUAUCUCAAAACAUGUUAUUGGCAUUAAAACGAAAACCCCACUUGUAAUAACAUAUAUAUACUUGUAUGAAUAUUAAAGUCUUGUGUAAAUUCUUUUCAAUAUCAUGCCAAUGAGAUUUAGGACAACCCCACGUACCUCAAUAUAGGCAUUCAAUGGAUGCUUCUUAAAGCCUAUGAUUUGGGAAUUCCGAAUCUUUGAUCAAUUUCUGAAAUUCACGGUUGAAUCUCGAGUUAUAAAGAAUUUUUUUGUUUGAAACCCUAAGGGUAUUCUUUAAUGGAUUUUGAUGAAAAAAUGAAUAGAGCGGUCUUUUGGGAUAAAAAUCUCAUGUUUGGGCACAUUAGAAUGAGGGAAAAUUAUCCAAUUGCCCCUUUAAGAUGUAAAUUUUAAAAUCUGAAAUAAUUGGGAACCGAUGUGAUUGGGGACGCGGUGCGUCGAUGCCAUCGAUGCUAUACCCGACUCGUUAUGCCUUAAUCGCGCCAAGCCUCAAUACUUUUUGCCUGGAAUUUCCUGCACGAAAUUGACCAACGCGAUGGGCAAUGCAGCGCGCUGAGAUCGAGUUGGUCCAGUAUUUUGGUACACCAAACAAGGUCUAAACAUGGUCCGAAAAAUCUAAAACUUGUUCGAAAACACCCAUUGACCUCCCGGAUCAUGAAUUUGCUAAAAUACCAAGUAUAGAGGGUCGGUAAGGUCGAAAAUAAGAUCAUCGAAGAUUAGAAGCUCAAAAUAAUUCUAAAUCCUUUUUACACUUAGAAAAAUUUUCAAGUCUUUAACUCUUUAAGCAUACUACUAGGAGCUAAUACAUGCACGAUUUUUUCAAGGUGUUACAGAAUGAAAAUCCAAACAAAGUGUAUUCAAUUUAAAAAUAUAUUUUUAGGCUUUGUUGUAUCCUGAUAGAGAAUUGCUUGUAAUUCAUAAAGAAAAUACGGGCAAUAACUCUUGUCAUUUUCUUGAUAUUCAUGUUAUCACAAAGUGUCACGAUUUGUGAUACAUAAUUUGUAACUUUUGAAUGGUUACUUGGCACAAUUAAGUAGUUGUAUUGCUGCCUUCUGUAGUUAUUUUUAAGUCCCAACUGCUAAAUAAAUAUGGAUGUAGACUUCCCUAAGUUUCUAUUAGUUGAAUGCAUGUAGGGAAAUGAAUAUAUAAAUGGUUUUAGGGGUUCGUGAUUUUGUAUCUAUUGUCAUUCAUGGCUUAGGGUGUGUUUGAUAUGAAGAAAAAUACUUUUCACUAAAAAUAAGUGUGUUUAUUACUUAUUUUUUAAAAUAAGCAGAAAAUAUUGGUUGAAAAAUAUUUUAUAUAAUUUAUACAAUUACCAUGGAGAGGAGUGGGGAUAGGAGUGUGGGGAUGCUUAGAGAUGGAGGCUGGAUGUGUUGGAGAAUGAAGAGAAAAUAAUUAAUAUGGAAUACCACUUAUAUAACUUGCUCUUGUACUUCUGCGAGAGAGGUUACUUUUCUCAUUUUAAGGAACUUAUUUUUCUAGAGAAAAAUAUAAUCGACCAAAUAUAGGAAAAUUGAAAAAUGUAAAGUGAAAAAUAUUUUUCUCUAUGCCUAGAUAGCCUUAGGGGACUUUUGGUAGAGUAUAUAAGAAUAAGGCAUAAUAUAGUGUAUUAGUAAUGCUUGUACUAGUUGUACUUGCAUUAGUUAUAUUGAUAUUGUUUCUUAUACAUUGUUUGGUUUGAUGUAUUAAAAAUAAUAUCUUACAGAAUUCCUACAAAAAUGUUUGUUUACAAAAAUAUCCUUCUUUGACAUUGUACACUUUCUUUGCAACAAAGUUCUUUUGCCAUCUUAAACAUAAUUAGUAUUGUUGAACUAAUAUAUAGAGGUGUAGGAUUACUUGCAAGACCUUCAUCUUUGCGCAUGAAAUGUUAUGUUGAUGGAUUAACAUAGUCGAAACGAAAAAAAUACAAGAUGUAGAAUCAAUGAAUAGUCUCAUGAAAUUUAUUUUUAAUCUUUUUAUAGACCCUUGAAGCAAAAAAAGGAUAUAUUAUAGUUAUUUAAACCAGCUAUCAUAAGCAUAAUCCAUACAUAAUUCAACAUGCUGAAGAAAUAGUGAAAUUCAACUUUAUCUUAUGAUCAGAAUAACCUGGUAUAUCCCCCAAUCCAAGUUUUCCACAAGGAUUGGAGUUUUCAUAACUUGUUAUAUCCCCCAGUGAGUAUACCGUAGGCAUCCCUUUAUGUGAGAUGUCCUAAUUAUACUCCCAUGUAAGGUAACAUAUCAUAAAUUUCUCAUCGGCAAAACACAAUUUUCGACAAUGAGUUAUCUGAAUUUGUUCCUUCUUCGGGUAACCAUCUAACUUUCUUAGAGCCCAUUUAUAGUCUUUUAAAACAUGCAUAUUUCCCAAAACAUGGUCUGAAGUCUGAAAAAUUCUGUAGUCUAUCAUGACAUUUAUCUGAUUUAGUAUUGUCAUACCAAAACUUGUAAGUCAUAUAAGUUGUAUCAUAUCAUAUUAUGUCAUGUCUUCAGCCCUUUAUUUAAAAGCAUGCUAUUUGAGCAAAUAAAUGAUGAGUUCUUAUUUCAAAAGAACAUGAAAACUUAUGCAAAAUACUAUGCUUUCAAGACUUUAACAUCGGUUGGCCAUCAUUUUCAUAAAUCACAUGCAAUUAUUUUAUUUAACACAAAAGGGCAUUUGUCAAUACGAAACACCUCUUGAAAAAAUAUAAAAGGACAAGGCAUAUUUGAUAAAGAUUCGUUUAAAAGUCAUGUUUCUCAUCGUUCAUUAAACAACCCCCAACAAUAGAAUAAAUAAAUCUCAUGAUCGAAAAAGGGAGUCUAUUAGUUCAUGCUCUCAAAUUCACUUCAAAACCCAUAAUACAUGCACAUAUUUCGUUAUUAUUUAGGAGCCACAAAAUUUUUUAAAUACAUGAAUCUUAUAAAUAGUUCAAAUACUUCAAAACUCUUAACAUAUGCACAUAAUCAAAGUCUCAAACUUGAAGAAAAUCCCAUAAUAAAUGCAUAAUUCCAUCUUAAGGUUGAGGUUUCGAAAUUCAUGUUUUUUAAAUCAACUUCAAAGCCUUAACUUACAUACAUACAUAAUAAGGAUUAUUAAAAUCAACAUACUUAUGCCAAUAAAUUUUAGGAUAGUUCUACAUAUCUUUGAGGGAGAAAAAUUAAAUAAUAACCUUGAAUUUGAAAUCUACAAGCUUUAGCAUUGAGAAACCCCUUCUUGAUGAUAUUGGGAGGAAGAGAAUAAGGAUUUGGAAGAAACCCUAGCUUCUUUCUUGAGAAAUGAGAAGAGAAUGAGCGUUUUAAUCUGAUUAUUAAUGAGUAAUAAUUCUUAUUGGAAGAUUUAAAUCAAGCGGGAGGAGUUUGUGGUGGGAAAAAAUCCAAAUACCCCCUUGAAAACUUUAUAACAGUGCAAAACGGUUCCUACUGAUGGUUUGGGUAACGGAUCAUCACUCCCGUGAUAGGCUGUCACUCCAGCCGUCCCAAAUUGACAAAUUUUCUCUCUAUUUGCUUAAGGGCGGCUGUCUGGUGCGACGGGCCAUCACCCUAGCCGUCGCGCCUUGGAAGACAAACACCUUUUGAUAAAUCAUGCAUAACUUUUUAUUACGAUAUCAAAUUAAAGCAAAACCGAUGGCGUUGGAAAGAAGACUCGAAGACCUCUCAUUUGAUAUACAGGAUGCCACCCUAACUCAUUAUAUUUUAGGAGUAAUAUUUGUUGGAAUUUGACCCAAGUUGGAACAUUUCCUAAAACUCAAUCAAUAGAAAAAUUCUCAACUCAACUUUGAGUUUGGAGAUUUUUAUGAUCUCAAUUUAUCUGUAAAUAUGUUCCCUCACUAAAGAAUUGAUCCUCACACUUAUAUGGACACAAAACCAUUAGGUUCGGAUCUAUAUAUGUAGGAAUGAAGGUUCGAAUUCUAACCCGAAAAUGUGAGGUGUCACACAAACGACCCCUUAAUCUAAAUGCCCUAUCAAGUAUUUUAGUCACUUAAACAUGGAAAAUUGCACGUAAGAUUAGAAGCUGUGGAAUCAUACCCUAUCAUCCAUAGUGUAAUAAGAAAAAAGAAAAAGGAAAACUUUACACCUUGUUUGGAUUGUUAUUACAAAUACGACAUUUGCUUAGAUUGCUAUUUAAGAUAUAUUAUAUCGUAUUGUUAAAUCCAUCGUGCAUAACAAUGAAAAGCCCCAUUGUGUGUGUUAGCCUUAUACUACGUUGCAACAUUCUUUUGGACAUUUUUCAAUAGUUUUGUGCAAAUUAUGCACUCCAAAGUCUACCAUUUACCUAGCAUGAAUUUCGUUUAAUCCAUAAAAACGUAGAAUCCCAUGAGACCACCCUUUAAUUUUUGUUUACCAUACAAAUUUUUAUGUGCCACACAUUUAACUAAACAAUAGCUUUUAUCUCUUCCAUCCAUUAUUUCAGCAUCUUAAUUUAAGCAAAACCAUACAAACACACAUGAUUCUUAAUCUAUUCACACCUAUAAAUAAUCCUCCUUUUCAUUCUUCAUUUCUCAUAAUCACAAUUUGUUUUUAACAAAAGUAAAAAGAAUGGAGGUGUCUAACAAGAAAAUAACAUCUCCAUUCUUUGCUUUCUUGUUUAUUUCUUCUCUUCUUAUUCAAUGUUUUCCGUGUGUUUCAUCAAAACCAAUUCCUGGAGGAAAAUACAAUAAGCCGGUCCCAAACCCAGGCCCCAUAAAUCCGGUCCCAAAUCCAGGCCAACCACUUCCAAAUCCUACAACACCGGGGGGCAAAAAAUUUUGCGUACCCAAACCUGAGGCUACAGAUAAAAAAUUGACGGCUUGUAUAAAAUGGGUUUGCAAAGAGGGAGGUGUGGAUUGUGGCCCAAUUAAUCCUGGAGGUGCAUGUUCUCAGCCCAAUACUCUUAGGUCUCGUGCAACCUGGGCCAUGAAUGCUUACUUUCAAAUGAAGGGUAAAACUGACAGUAUGUGUGGUUUUUCGGGCACUGGUGUCGUCUCUUCCAUUGAUCCAAGUAAGUAUUCAACAUUUUUUUGAUCAGUGUAAAGAAUUUUGUAUAUUAUUAAAUCACUUUGAAGAUGAAGAAUUUUUGCGAUACAUAUUGACAACGUUUUGUCAAAUCACCAAUAAGAUAACCAUGUAUAAUUCAGCAUAGUAAUUAAGAUUAGUAACCUAAAAUAUUAGGCAAACAACUGAAAUAACAGUUUAAAUUAUACCGAUAGUGUAAAAGUUUUUGAAAUUUUAAGCUUAUGUAAGUUUUCACAACAUUAAGUGUUUAAUCACUUAUUAUAAAAUAAUAAAAUAUUGAAUUUGGAUUGAAAUCAAAUUUAUAAUUAAUAGACCGUGAAUUCAAUAAGAAAACUAAAAAUGGAGCAAUUCAGUUCUAUCCUAAUACAAUUUUUUUUGUAAUUAGUCCCAUGACAAAAUUAUAAUUAUACCCAUUAGUAAGUUUUCAAAUGGAGAAAAUUAUAACUUAUCAUUUUUUAGUGGAUAUUUUGGUAAGACAACAUUAUUAUUCUUGAUUCUAUAGUAAUAUAGACAGAUAGAUAUAAAUUACAUCUGCUUAUUGUUUAGGCUAUUUAAAUAGUGUAAAACGAUCUUGUAUUUUUAGUUUAUAAAAGUUAAAACUCUGACGAUAAUUAUUGAUAUUGUUCAUAUAAGUAAAUUAGUAACUAAUCUUACAAAUAAGAUAAGUAACUUUUUACAACAUAUUAAAAUCCAGUUCACAUUCAAUAUUGUUAGGGUUUUUGUCCUAAUUUUCUUACUAUAUUUAAGCUUUACUUUUUCUUAGAAGGAAAAUAAAAGUUACCAUAAUUACUUUUACAUUUCCUGAUAGAAAAAAUAUAAUUCUUUUCCAUAUUUGGCAAACCUCUUUCUUGGAGGAAAGGUUUUGGACAUCUAUAAAUAAAAGACCCCCUUCCCAUAUCAUAACACAAUAGCAUCAACAAUGUAGUCAUCAAAGAGUCUCGUUUAGGGGGAGAUUUUCUCUCUAAUAGUUUUACGUUUUCUUUUAUAUUAGGUUUUUAUAUGUAGGCCAAUUGGCCAAACUAUAUAAUCAUCAUGUUUUUAGUAUGUUUUUCUUUUCGCCUGAUUUAUCGUCUCAAUAAUUUGUAACUAAUAGCUUCCACAUGACGCCAUCUCGAUUUCAAACCCAACAAAUAUUUUUAUCAUAAAACAUUCUUGAAUUAUUUUAUUGAAAAUCUAAUGAUAGUUGUCCUAAUAAUUGUUUUUUUUUUUUUUUUUUUUUUUGGUUUUGGUAAUUGCAAAUACCAAUUUUUAUAAUUUUCAAAAACUAAUCUAAUUAUGUUGUCAUGUAGUAUGUUGUUAUUACAAAUAAAAAAUAAAAAAGAUUGUUGCCUACUUAAUUUUCCACGAUCAAGUUUUAAUUAUAUUCUAUCUUUUAUCCUUUUUGUUUGAUAAUUUAGUGUGCAACAUUCUACUAAAACUAAACAAUGCUAUUACUAUUUGAAGAAUUAUAUUUAUAUAUAUAUAUAUAUUAACCGUGAUUUACUUAAUACUAAAAAUAAAGAAAGUAUGGCAAAUAUUGUUAUUCAGUUCAUAAAACGUAUGAACUAAAAGUGUUUUUUUCCAUUGUUUUUGGGUCUAUCAAGAAAAUUCUGUCUCAAAUCAACAGCACAACCAACACACCAAUAUUAAACAUACGAUUUACCAAAAUCAUCAACAACCCAUUCACCAAAAAUAACAUUCGCUAUUCAUCUCCAAACUAUGAGAAGAAGUCAAUAACUUCAAAAGUCCAUAAUAACAAAAAAAUACUCAAACUCUAAAGUCAUGACUAUGGAGCGACUCUAAGAGGUUUCAACUUGAACAAGUGCGAGGCUUACCAGGAAUAUGUCACGACCCGAGGUUACCCCCUAGUCGCAACAACGGUGUUUACGGUCACAAGUGACCACAAGCUAAUUCUUGAGCUGGUACCUGCUGUGAGCACUGAGUAUAAUAAUAAUAUAACAUAUGUGCGAAAGAUACAAUGAGAAAAUAAUACCAAUCUGAAUAUUGAAAAUGUGGUUCAACCACAAGUCUAAAACAUCUGAUGAAAUAAUGGAAGCUAACUAUCAAUUUAAAACAACGGAUAAUACUGAAAGGUCUGGUUAACUGAAUAAUCGUCUAACUGACUGUUUGAUUAUUUGAAAAGCCUCUAACUGAAUGACUAAGAAGUUUAGGGAAAAUCCCCCAACUAACUCUAACUGACUGAACAUAAUGACAUUCUGAAGUACUGAAUGAGAAAUAAUAUGUAACGCCCCAAAAUCUAAUCCCCGAGAUGCCACACGGUGCUCCGAACUACAAGUAGUUCUGAGCUAACCCUAGCUGCUUUCUACUAAUCUUGUCUCAAAAAGGAUAAAUAUAAGCAUGAAACCAUAAUAAGUGUGGAAAUCUAUUUGAAUUCUCUGAAUAAAUAUUGAAUAGAAUCUGAAUAUGAUUUCUAUACCCAUGAGAUUUUUAGGAAAACCCGGCAUACCUUAAUACCGGAGGAUAAUAGGUAAUUCUUGAAGCUUACGGAUUGGGGAUUCCAAAUAAUCAAUCACUUUUGAAAAUCCACGGUUGAAUCUUGAGUUAUUUGGGUUUUUAUUUUGAAACCCUUGAGAGAGUUCUUGAGGAAAAUUGAGAGAAAUAAACUUAUUUUGGCGUUAUGGGAGUUUAAUCCAGUGUUAGAUAUGAUAUGGGGUUGAAAACUAUCACAUUUACCCUUAAUGAGUCGGAAAGAAGCUGAAAAUUGACCCCAGGCUGUACCCAGGGCGGAGCCCUUCUUAGUCCACCGCUCUAGCCCGAGCGGUGCCCUGCUUAUAGCCUCUUUCUACUAGUCAUGAAAAUGGCAGUAACUUUUCGCUCCAGUAUCGAAUUUUUUUUAAAUUUGUAUCAUUGGAAAGCUAAUUUAAUUAUCUACAAUUUGGUGGGUAUUGGGAUGAAAAUUUCCAUGUAUAUAAAGAGUCAUACACAUUUGAAGUAGAUCCUUGUAGAAUCGAAUAUCGAAUUUUGGACUACUCAAAUGAUCUUAGCUUAACUUUGUUCUAAGUCAUUGCUAUGAACACUUUUCACCUCUAAACUACUUCAUAGAUUAGGAUAAUGAUCAUGAAACUUGUAUUCACAUUCAAAUCAUUUGGAUUAGAGCUUAGACGUGUAGAAACGACGAUUUAAUUUCUAGUUCGAAAAUGUGGGGUGUUACAUUAUCUCCCCCUUGGGAUCAUUCGUCCUCGAAUGAUAGGUAGGAACUUGUUGAAGCUUAAAGGUAUAGAAUAAUGAGGACAUAAUGUGUCCUCUAAGAAAUAUAUAUCCGAUCUGAAAUAUUUAAACUUCUAUCAUGAAACUGAAUUCUGAGCAGACUUGACUUUACCUGCUUCAAGAUGCUGAUUCAUGCUGAGAGUUUAGGAUUCCCUUAAAGUAUUCAUGAUCCAAUUAUACAUAUUGAAUUGAGAAGUGAUAACUUAUGAAAGUACGAACCAUGAGACAACCAGACUUAGGUCACAUAAGGGUAUUACACUAUAUGAGCUAAAAUACUUAGAAAUUUUGAGAUUAUGCGCUGAACUUUUAUGCACCGAGCCUUGACCAAAUAGCUGAAUCUAAAACAUGAUGCUUGGAAUGAACUGAAUUCACAAUUUACAUGGAUGGAAUAGGUUAUAUCCUGGGGUGGUCAUACGUAUGAGACUUCGGAUAGUAAGACUGCGUGAAAAGGUGGAAAACCAUAGUAACUAAUUAGCCUGACUAUCAAACUGAAUUGCUGGCUAUACAGACUGAAUUACACUAGACACUUAACUUAAGUAUUCCUUGAACACCCUUUCUAAAGAAGUCCUAGUAGCCGUAGAAAGCAAGGGAUCUUGGGAAUGAGUUACAAAAGACAUCCAACUAGGGAAUCACAACAAUGACAUUACUCUUUAACACGGAAUAGACAUAUAACUCAUAAACUAGGAUAGAAUUACCACACCUUAAGCAAAAAAACUUCUUACUUUCAGGUUACCCACACUUCUAAAAUACUCUCUCAACUAUAGUUUUCCCCUUAAAUAUCAUGCUCAUUGAUUCCACUUAUUUUUCUCACAUAGACGCUGAUAUCUCCAUCUACUAAUGUCUAAACUUAACUAAAUCCUCUCACUAUCUUCAAGCCUAACUCAAACCAUAAGACACACCACAUAAUACUGUAGUACUAGUCUGAAUCAUAAAUUCAGUAUACCCUUCAUUUCACAAUUCCUCAUCUCAUGCAUAAUUCUUAUUGCCACUCCCAUAAUCACCUUCAACUUCUGAUUAGACAUUCACAAACACUCAAAGCAUCCAUCCGUAUGUAAACAAACAUGACAUUCAAGCCUAUAUUCUUACCCACAUAUGCACUUCUAAACAAAAACUCGUAAAGCACCUUCCUCAUAUUCUCUAAUACUUCUAUCCAUAACAGCUUCCUUGCACUAUUCAGAUGAUACACACAAAAUAUUCUCAACUAACCGAGCCAUACAUGAAACUUCACCUCAAAAUUCUUUCAAACUUAUAGACUUGGACUCAAUCUUACUCCACAAUUACUGCCUUAUCUCAACUAAGCAUACAACCAUAUUUCCUUAAUAAGAAAUGUUUACUCUCUCCCAUCUAGACAAUUGUUCAUCAACACUAUCUCGACCUACGAGAAAGGUCACUGAAAAGUUGGAAUAUCGGGAUUCAGAACAUGAGGGGAUUACUAAGCAUAACUUGAUACCCUUUUGAGGCAUGAGGAAUAGAGCACUCACGGUAUGAACUCAUUAAAGAGGUCUAAUCUGAGGAAGUACCCAACUGGGAACUCAUCAUACUAGAAGCUAAAAGAGUACAUGAUUCCCUAUCAUAUCCAUGAAUAUGAACUAUGAUCGUGGAGCUGAAACAUAAGUAUGAGUAUGUAUCAAAAUAAAUGAAGCAAACUGCUGAAAUAAGAAUACAUUAAGCAUCACUCUUCUCACGGCUAUUCCACCACUUACGGGCACAACAAUUAGAAUUUGAACGCUUAACUUGAUUACUCGUUCUAUCAUCUCCCCCUUAGAUUCAAGCCAUCACUCUGAGUCGGUGAACCACUGUAUACACUCUGGUAUAACUGAAAUCACUCUACUCUAGAGUCUGGGAUAUACAAUACACAUAAAACUAAACUUACUCUGAAAGACAGUAUCUUCGUGUAUAAUACCCAAUACUAAUAUCUCCUUCCAAGAUUCAACCCUUAGGCUUCUAUAGCCCCAAAAGUAAUUAUAUAACAACUUAAACAUUCACCAACUUAGAUUCUAACACUAAACAUGGAUAUCAUCAACCUCCAACACAUCAUACUUCUUCCGUCAAAGUCUACCGGUAUCGCAUCUCAAAACCUUUAUCUCUCCCCUAAUCCAUGAGAAUCAAAAUCAUACUUAAAAAGGCUCAACAUCCUUAAUCAUAACUCCAUAACUUAGCUAUCACGAACAUCACAUAUUAUUUAACUAGUCUUUCUCCACCUAGCAACUCAAUGGUACUACUAAUCCACACAACAUGCAAUGAUCCUCAAAAAUAACACAUCCCCAUAGCACCUUGGGCGUACGUCUACAUCAUACUUACAACACCAGACUUGAUUUUGAAUCAAAUAAACUUAAGAUCUUGUAUACACUAUUCAAGCCUACUAGGUUAUUUUCACACAACUAACAUCUACUACAUUAUUCAUUAUACCCACCUUGAUCACCAUCUACUAUUCCAACUUAGUGUUUAGUUCUAGCUACGAAGAACCAUAACUUUACACAAUAUUCUUACAUGCCAAACAUCUGAAAACAUUAACCAACCAAAACUUCAUAACAGUAAGGAUCAAUCACAAUCCUAUGAUCUAUCUUAUUUAAAACCCAUUAAUAUGUCCUCCUUCUACACAAUAUUACUAUCUACCCUUAUACAACUAAAAUUAGGGAAAAACUCUAUAAGUCUCAAUUAAGCUCCCUUUUAUAAUCUCAGGGGCAUCUAAUUCAAUGACACUCUUCCACCAAGUACCUUCAUCAAUAAACUACACCUUCCUUGCUCACAACAAACACCGUCAACAACUCUUUUCAUACUUCAAGCAAUCAACAAUUCACCUUAACUAAUAACUCCUUCUCUACCUUCUACUAAACUAACACACAAAGACGUAUCACUUUACUACUAACUCACUCUCAUUCAAAAAGAUUCAACUAUACAUAUAUUUAACCAACACCAGAACAAAAAACUGCUAGUGAAUCAAAAUAGGCCUCACACGGCUUUACUAGACUUUGAUUUUUGUGUUUUGAACAAGAAAAAGAAGAUGAAUGACAAGAAAACUAUGCUAGUGAAUCGAAAGAGCCCCACAUGGCUUCACCAGACUUUGAUUUUUUUUUUACAGAAACACCAUGAUAACAAGAUUGCCUAUUAUAAGAGAUAGAAAAUUAACACACGAUGUUCAAUGAUAGAAAAUUAACACACGAUGUUCAAUGAUCUAAGACUACACAUCUUACUCUGUAUAAAUAGAAAUCUGAGUCAAACACAUCCCCCACAGACUACCAUACAAUCCACACAUACUACUAGCUACCAUAUUAGUCUACCACUAUAGAGAGGUUAAUCAUCCUCAAACACCGGUUAUUCAAUUAAAAUAUUUAUUUACACAAAAGUCGCCCUCACUCUGACUUCUAACUCUGUGACUUCAUAUCACUAGCUUCUUGGUCUAAUCUUACUCCCAAUUGGUCAUGACACUGACACUUUAACUUAUACUACUAUUUGGGUGAAAAUGCAGUUCCAACAUUCUUCUACACAUUAUUCCCUCUGAAAUAUGACAUCUGUAACAUAAAUUUUGAAAAGGACCGAAUACUCUUAAUACUGCAGGCUGAAAAGCAUGAUUUUAUUAAGAUCAAGGUUCACACCAGAACCAAUACACUCUGAAGAAGUAAAGGACUCUUUCCAAGUCCUUACAAAACUCUUAUAUGAUUCAAUCAGAAAGAACCAUACCAUUUAGACUCUAAACUUCUGUACUUGAAUUAUCCCAAUAAUGAGACAUAUAUGAGAAUAUCAGAGAAAGGAAAGAAUUGGGAUGACUGUUACUUUCGUAUUGGCGACACCAUAGCAUGAAUUAGAGUAUGAAAGAGGAACAUUCUGACUUUGUUGCAUGAACUAGAACAUGAAGAAAGAGAGACAUUCCUAAACGCCUUAUAGCCUCCUACUUAUAAGUGUGGUGCACUACACACCCAUAAACAAGACUCUACCCAACACGAUUUCACAGAAACCCUGGGAUCAUGAACAGUUCUCUGAUACCAAGUUUGUUACGACCCAAACUAGGGCCUGGCCAUGAUGGACAUCCCAAACUAUGAAGGAACGAAAUGCCCCUCUCUAUAUAGUAAUCAUGCACAACAUUCAUAUAAUAAAAGAAGAUGCGGAAACAUAAUCUGCUACGGAAACAUGGUCAAUUAUAAAUUCAACAUAAGUAUGGAAACUGUAAAUCAACUACAUAUGAAUAACAUCUGACUCAGUCUGCGAAAUCUCUACUAGAUGGAAAUCUAACAACUGUCUGAAACUGGGACAAGGCCCCUAGUAGACCAAAACAAUAAUGAGUGACAUAAUCUGAAAGGACAGGCCUUCUGGAAUAGAGAAGGCUCACCACUACACAAUCUAAUCAGCUGCCUGAAUUAUCUACUGCUUAUCUGGACCCCUAGCCCGAACCUCAGAACCUGGAGGAAGGAGGGGGUUAAUACAGAUGUACUGGUAUGCAAAGCAUUCCAAAAUAAAGCUUUUAUAUAAAUAAAAUAAUGAAGAGCAAUUUGUCAAAACAUCAUACAUAAAAUAGUUUUCGAAACACAUGGGCACCUUUUUGAAAAUCAUAAAUCAUUCUUGACAAUGUAGUUCCUGUUCUUCAUUUUAAUUCUGAGCUAUGAGGUACACCCCUACAAUUCUAAAAUCCCACGGACUGUAUGGAAUCCGCCAUUAACUCGACAGGGAAUCCCCCAACCCAAGUGUCAUGGGUUGGAGUUUCUAUUCUGAUACGCCACACAGCACUAGGCCAGCAUAAUAUAAUAUACCCAGAUCAGAAAAUCAUGGUUUCGGGCAAUGAUUUGCCUGAACUCGUGCCUUCUUCGGGGAACCACUUAAGCUCUCUUUACGUCCAAUUUUAUCCUAUUCUAAAUCAUGCAUUUUUUUUUUAGUUUCAACAUCUGAAAGUUUGAUUUUAAACGUGCAUUCUAUUCUAUUCUGAAUUACCAUGGCAUAAUCUGAAUUGGUGUCGUCACACCAAGACUUGCAAGUACUAUUUCUGAGCCAUAAUGUAUCAUGCAUAAUUCUUUUAAUAAAACACAGGUCAGACCACCCAAAUAUGCAAUUAGUAUAAGAGAUAUUAUGUUUCGAAACUCAAGUCAAAACUAUGUGAAAACUGUCAUCAAGCAUAUGGUGGUCAUGUAUUUCGGCAAGCAUGCAACUCUUUCAUUAAAUGAAUAUUCAACUUUUAUCAAUAUGCACAACUUUCUCUUUCGAAUUCAAAACCAUAAAUCAAAUUGUAGCAUUAAUCAAGAUAUUUCAUAUCAUGCUUUUCAAGAUACAAAACAAUCCAUAUCAUAUGAAAAUUGGAAAAAUAAUAUCAAGAGAGGGAUUCAUGUGAGUCAUGCUCUCAAUUCAUUCAUAAAUCAUAAAACUUAUGCAUACGUAUAUAUAUGUAAUUUAAAUCCAUUUAGGGGAAGGCCUAAAGACCAAAACAAUGUCAUCAAGACUUCUAAAACAUAUUUAUAUUCGUAAAUCCAAAACCCCUUUUCUUAAAACAUGAUUUCUAUGCCUAUGAGAUUUUUAGGAAAACCCCGCGUACCUUAAUACCGGAAGAUAAUAGGUAAUUCUUGAAGCUUACGGAUUGGGGAUUCCAAAUCUUUAAUCACUUUUGAAAAUUCACGAUUGAAUCUUGAGUUAUUUGGGUUUUUAUUUUGAAACCUUUGAGAGAUUUCUUGAGGAAAAUUGAGAGAAAUAAAAUUAUUUUGGUGUUAUGGGAGUUUAAUCCCGUGUUAGAUAUGAUAUGGGGUUGAAAAGUAUCACAUUUACCCUUAAUGGGUUGGAAGGAAGCUGAAAAUUGACCCCAGGCUAUACCCAGGGUGGAGCCCUGCUUAUUCCACCGCUCUAUCCCAGGCGUAGCCCCCCCUUAGAGCACCGUUCUAGCCCGGGCGGUGCCCUACUUAUAGCCUCUUUCUACUGGUCACGAAAAUUGUUGUAACUUCUCACUCCGGUAUCGAAUUUUUGUAAAAUUGCAAUCGUUGAAAAGCUAAUUCAAUCAUAGGGUUUAAGCUGUCUGGAAGCAUAGGAUAUGACCUUAUCAUAUUGCAUGAGUACACAACCCAAACCUACUCUAGAUGCAUCACAAUACACUACGAACCUAUCUGAACCAUCUGGAAGAGCUAAAACUGAAGCUGAGAUGAGUCGAGUCUUCAACACCUGAAAAAUCUUCUCACAAGGAUAUGACCACUGAAACUUGACUUUCUUCUGAGUCAAUCUGGACAUAGGGGAACUACAGAACAAAUCCCUUAAUAAACUAUCUGUAAUAGCCAGCCAAACCUAAAAAAACUCCUGAUAUCUGAUGGAGAGACAGGGUGAGGCCAGUUUCUUACUGCUUCGAUAUUUUGAGGAUCUACACUAAUGACAUUAUCGGAAACGAUAGGACCAAUAAAUGCUACUGGCCUUAGACAAAAUUUGCAUUUAUUGAAUUUGGCAAAUAGCUGAUGAUCUCUGAGAGUCCAAAGUACUGUUCUGAGAUGGUCUUCAUGAUUGCGCUCAGUGUAGGAAUAGACCAAAAUAUCAUCUAUGAAGACUAUGAAGAACAUAUCCAAUUACUGAUUGAAUACACGGUUCAUCAAGUCCAUGAAAGCAGAUGGGGCAUUGGUAAGACCAAAGGACAUAACUAAGAAUUCGAAGUGACCAUACCGAGUUCAGAAAGCUAUUUUCAGAAUGUCACAUUCUCUAACUCUGAGCUGAUGAUAGCCAGAUCUAAGCUCGAUCUUAGAAAAAUUACUGGUACCUUGAAGUUGGUCAAACAAGUCAUCGAUUCUAGUAAGAGGAUACUUGUUCUUGACCAUGACCUGACGAUAAUCGAUGCACAUUCUGAGAGAACUGUCUUUCUUAUGCACGAAUAAGACUGGCGUACCCCACAAGGAAAUAAUGGGUCUGAUGAAUCCCUUAUCUAAUAGAUCCUUCAACCGUUCUUUUAAUUCUUUGAGUUUUACUGGUGCCAUUCUGUAUGGCAGAAUAGAGAUAUGCUGAGUAUCUGGAAGAAGAUCAAUACCGAAGUCUAUUUCCCUUUUGGGAGAAAUUCUUGGAAGAUCUUCGGGAAAGACAUCUGACUAUUCACUCUCGACUGGAAGUUAUUCAAGACUAGAAGUCUCGAAACUGGAAUCCUUAACAUGAACAAGAUAAUAGACACACCCUUUAGAUAUCAUUUCCUUUCCCGAAGGUAAGAAACAAGAUGACCUCUGAAAGCAAAUACAUUACCCUUCCACUCUAGGAUGGGUUUAUUCAAAAAUUGAAACUAAACUAUUUUAUUUCUGUGGUUGACUGUGGCAUAGUAGGAAUGAAUCCAAUCCAUGUCAAGAAUGACAUCAAAAUCAGUCAUCUCCAAUUUGACUAAGUCUGCUAAAGUGAAUUUCUGAAAAAUCAUAAUCGGGCAGUUCCUGUACACCCACCGAGCUAUGAUGGUUUUAUCCACUGGGGUAGAGACUGAAAAGGGUUUUGCUAGAAUUUCGAUACUGAUUUUGAAAUCAACUACUAUAUAAGGUGUAACAGAAGACAAAGAAGAUCUUGGAUCUAGCAAAGCGUAAACAUGCACAAAAAAGAUCUGUAACGUACCAAUAAUCACAUCAAAAGAAUUUCUAGAUCCUGGUAGGAGUGAAGAGCAUAGAGACAAUUUGGGUGUUGCCCAGUAGUAGUACUUGAGGUGGCACCCUAUUGAUUUGGGCGACUGGACUGAGCUGAGGAGUGGAGAUGACUCUGGUAGCCUGACUGAGGGCAGUCUCUGACUCUGUGGCUUGGCUUGCCACAAUCGAAACAGACAUCACUACCCGCCCUGUACUCACCCUUAUGGUUCUUACCAUAAGUCUGACAAAGAGGAUUUGUUCGGGGACUGCUAACACUGCCCUGGGUCUUAGAUCCUAGCACUCUAUCUCUAUUUCCCUCUCUGAACUUAGGAACAGGAGCACUGGCUAUAGAGAGAUCUAGAACUUAUGACUUAGGAUGAAACUAAGAAUGGUUUCCUCUUUAUGACUUAGGUUGAGCGAAGUUGAAACUACCUAUCUUCACUCUCUUAUUCUGUUUCUCUCUUAUCUUAACCUGUUGCUUCUCUAUCUGCUGAGCAUGGGUCAUAAGUCUAGCUAAGGUUAUGUCACUAUUUAGCAUGACAAAUCUGCACUCAUUAACCACACUAUCGUUUACUCCUGACAUAAACUUACUCAUCCUUGCCCUGCUAUCUGCAACCACAUGAGGGGCAUAUCUGGCUAGUUGAGUAAAUGUGAGAGAAUACUCUUUCACUGUCAUAUUGCUCUUGCUGAGGUUGAUGAAAUCUAACACCUUGGCUUCUCUAAGAUCUAGGGGAAAGAACCUAUCAAGGAAAACUGAAGCAAACUCCUCCCACUCAACUGACCCUGCAUUUUCUGCCCUUUCUGACUUCUACUGCUUGAACCAAGUGUGAGCACCAUCCUACAAAUGAUAUGCAGCUAGCUCAGCACUCUCAACAGUAGUCACCCCCAUUAUAUCUGCCACCUUCUGCACCUGAUCAAGGAACUCCUGAGGGUCCUCAUCUGUCUUAGACCCAAGAAAGGUUGGAGGAUUCAUUCGGGUGAAGUCCCAAAUUCUAGCUGCAGCUGAAUUGGCCACUGGGUUGGCCAGAAUGACAACUGGUCAUUCAUUCUAGGUAGAACUGACUGAGCAAGAGUGGUAACUACGGUCCUAAACUCCGCAUGAGAAACAUGAUCGCCCAAAGGUUUUUCGGGUUGAGGGGCUGACAGAUUUCUUAUCUUAGGAGGCAUAUUCUAAAAUAAAGAGAAGAAGCAGAUUAGACUGAGAGACUGACUUGAGUUUAUGCUCACUGGCAUAAUAUGAAUACUGAAAGAGGGGAAACUAUUCCUAAAACAUCUCAUAGCCUCCUACACAUAAAUGUGGCACGCAACAUACCCAUGUACAAGACUCUAGUAGAUGCAACUUUCAGAAUUCCUAGGACUCUAUUGAUCCUUAGGCUCUGAUACCAAGUUUAUAACACCCCAAAUCUGGUACCCAAAAUGCUACACGGUGCUUAUGACCCCAAAGGACCAUAAGCUAACCCAUGACUGAUAUUUAUAUCUGUACACUGCAUAAUAUGACAUAAUAAUGCGAAAACAUGCACUGAAAGGCCAUAAGGUUCAAUACUGAACAUAACAUGGAUAAUAUAACAUCUGAGUGGGGUAAUGGAAUACCCAAAACAAAAUUGAGAAAUACUGAAGUUUGAAACAUAACAGUCUAGAAAGCCUCUAACAUGACUAUCUGAAUGAGUAAGGAAUUGAUGGGACAUAUCCCCAACUAACUCCAACUAAUAAACUAAUUAAUGAGAUAAUAUAAAAAUCAUCAUGUCCUCAGAGGAUGAGGACUCACUUCUACUCUGAUGGCUGAGACUGGAAUCUACUGGUGAUCUGGAGCUCGUGUCUCUGAACCUAUGGUAUAAGACACCAUAGCAUGAAUGCGUCAGUACUUUGAAUGUAAUGGUAUACAUGUGAGGUAGGAUAAAUACAUGGGGCUCAUAUACAUAAAUAAUAAUAAUAACUGACUGGCUAUCAUGAGCGUGAGAAAUGAUGCAUGAGAUGCGAUAACUAACACUGAUACCGUGAAUACAUAAUAACUGAACCUGAGUACUGAUAACUGAAUACUAGUAACAUGACAUACAAAUAACAUAAAUAACUGUAUCUUGAAAGCAGAGUCCAGCAACCAGAAAAACUCUCUUUCUAAACUCACCAGUGAUCGUUUUUCCACUAAGAAAAACUAUUAUAAAAAGCCUUCUCCUCCAGAUGUUCAAUUUGAAGAAAAUCCCUACCUCUCAACCUUCAACCAUGACGGUAGAGGAAUAACUAAAUGGAAUGUAGACGGUUUGGCUGAACACCAAAUCUACAACAACCUCACCUGCAAAGACCUAGCAGACUUCAGGUGGUAUAAAGACACCUUUUUAGUAAAGGUCAUGAUCCGACCUGAUUGUAACAAUGAUUUCUGGAAGGAACGAUUCAUUAGUGGCCUUCCUUCUCUGUUCACAGAAAAGGUUAGAACCAAAAUUAAAGACAGAUUUGAGGGAAAGAUCCCUUAUGAUAUCCUAAGCUAUGGCGACUUGAUCAGUUUCAUCACCACCGUAGGGAUAGAUCUUUGCACUGACCUCAAACUUAAAAAUCUCAAAAUCCGACUUGACCAAGUAGAACUUAACGUUCUUACGGAUCAAGUCCUCAAAAAUAUAUCUCCCCCAGAAAAGGUUUCUCCACCAGAGUCACCUAAAGCCUUUCCGAUCAUCCCAAAUGACCAUCUCAGAGAACCAGAGCCUAGUUCCUUUCCUGGCUCAGAUUCUCCCUCCACGUCCGGCAAAGCUAUUACGGCCAUAAAGGAUUAUAGCGAACAUAUAGCCAUAAAAAUUGUCAUAAACAUAGACUUUGUUCUUAACAGAGUCGCACUCUUCGAUACAGGAGCAGAUAGUAACUGUAUCAUUAAAGGUUUAGUACCUACAAAGUACCUCCAAAAGAGUACCUCUCGUCUUUACUCAGCGACGGGAGAAGAAAUGGAAAUCCAUUAUCAGCUCCCUAAAGCUCAUGUCUGUAACAAUGGCAUUUGCCUUGUUAAUGACUUCGUCAUCACCGAAGAUAUCACAGAAGAUAUCAUUUUGGGGAUACCUUUCGUCAACCAAAUUCGACCUUACUGGAGUGACUACGACGGAAUUCGUACAACUCUUUUAAACCAGAACUUAUUCUUCCCUUUAUUACGGCCCCUCUCGCAAGAAGAAGGUAACCUUAUUAUAGAACGAACGGUUUUUAAAAUUAACCGACUUUCUUCCCAUAUCAAUUUUCUUAAACAAGAUAUUCACAUCAAGAAAAUUGAGCAGUCUUUAAAAACCCUGGAGAUGAUCACUAAAAUAUCUAAUCUCCACAAAAAUUUUGAAAAUGAAAUUUGUUCCGAAUUUCCUAAUGCUUUUUGGGAACGGAAAAAACACUUNNNNNNNNNNNNNNNNNNNNNNNNNNNNNNNNNNNNNNNNNNNNNNNNNNNNNNNNNNNNNNNNNAUCCAAAUGAACCAAGAAAUGAUGGAAAUCUGCAAAAAGAAAAUUGACCAUCUUCUAAAGAAUGGUAUUAUUAGAAGCUCUAACUCUCCCUGGAGUUGUUCUGCCUUUUAUGUCAAUAACAGUGCAGAAAAGGAGCGCGGAACCCCUAGACUUGUAAUAAAUUACAAGCCUUUGAACGCAGUCUUAAAAUGGAUCAGACAUCCUAUUCCUAAUAAAAGGGAUCUAUUAAAAAGAACUUUCAAAUCUAAUCUUUACAGCAAAUUUGAUAUGAAGUCCGGGUUUUGGAAAAUUCAAAUUGCUGAGAAAGAUAAAUAUAAGACGGAUUUUAACGUCCCAUUUGGACAUUAUGAGUGGAACGUCUUGCCUUUUGGUCUCAAAAACGCUCCAUCAGAGUUUCAAAACAUUAUAAACAAUAUCUUCAAUCCUUAUACUUAUAUGUCGAUUGUUUAUAUUGAUGAUGUGCUUAUUUUCUCGGAGAACAUUGAUUCUCAUUUCAAACAUUUAAACACUUUCUUUAAAAUUAUUAAAUUUAAUGGUUUGGUUGUUAGUGCCAAAAAAAUGAAGCUCUUCCAGACAUAUACAAGAUUCUUAGGACAUGAUCUUUAUCAAGGUAGCUAUAAACCUAUUUGUAGAGCCAUUGAGUUCUCCUCCAAAUUCCCUAAUGAAAUUACUGAUAAGACUCAACUCCAAAGGUUUCUAGGAAGCCUCAAUUAUGUUGCGGAUUUUAUUCCUAAUAUUAGGCAGGUCUGUGAACCUCUUUAUAAAAGACUCAAAAAAAACCCCAGUUCCUUGGAGUCCUGAUCAAACCAAUGCUGUCAUUAAAAUAAAAAAUUUAGUCCAGAACCUUCCUUGCUUAGGAAUUCCUAACCCUGAAGCCUUCAUGAUAGUUGAAACUGAUGCUUCAGAUAUAGGGUAUGGGGGUAUCUUAAAGAUAGGGUUGGCUAUAGGAUUAGGGCUUGGGGCUCCUUUCUCAGGAGUAGGGGAAACAAAAGGAAAUACCGAGUUUUUAGUAUGUCGUAUUUGCUGGUAGAUAGUGUGAAGGACCUGAUUAGUAUAGUUGUUUUGUUCAACUAUCCUAUCGAGGUCUCUAUUGAUAGGGGCAGAUAGAGGUCUAUCAUGCUUCUUCUUGAAUGGUGAAGCAUUGAGAACUUUAUUGGAAUGAGGAAUUUUUAUCCCUUCGAGAGGAGGAGUAACAGAUUUAAUUAUCUUGUUACUCUGAGUAUAACAUUUGUUAAUGAUACCGUUGAGGGAUUCAUUUUGGUUUUCCAUUCUUCCGGUGAACUCAAACCAUCGAAAGAAUUCUAUGUCACAUCGGAGCCUUUUCAUAUCGGUUAUCCAUAGCCGACCUAACUCCUUUUGUUGUUCUUUGGAAUAGGUACUGGUAUACCAUUUACUUUUUAUUGUGUCCUUUGGGAGGUACCAGCGGACUUCAAGAGCUUUAAGAUCAGGUGUAUACUCUUCAUCAAAUUUGAUGACGAGUAGGCUGGGGUCGGUCCGAAUUUUUUGACGGGAUAUGGUAGGGGGAGGUUCCAUAUCAGAGGCUGUAGGACUGCCUGGAUCAUAAGGAUUUUCAGGUUCUAGGGACUCAUAGACCCUAGUGGAUUGCUGAUAAUAAACUUUUGGGACAGGACCAGAGAAGUCGACUCCUCUUACUUUGCCCUUGUCAUUGUUAUUAUCAUUUUCGUCACUUCCCUCCUNNNNNNNNNNNNNNNNNNNNNNNNNNNNNNNNNNNNNNNNNNNNNNNNNNNNNNNNNNNNNNNNNNNNNNNNNNNNNNNNNNNNNGGAACAAAGACAUUGGUUCUGUCUUUAUUGGCCUCCAUGAGUGUGGUGACACCCCUAGGACUUGUGAAUCUAGCUUGGGGUGCUAGAGUUGUACCCAUUAGUCGAUAGUAUACUCUGUAUAUUAUUGCGAUUUCUCUAGUAUUAUCCUUACUGUUCAUGUUUUAGUUUUAACAUUAAGGGUUAAAACAUCCAUGAUGUUAGGAUCAUUAAUGUCUACUGAGAAAUUAGGGUAACAAUUAAAGUAUACCGGGCCAUCAGCUAGGUUACUUUGGAUAACUCCUAAGAGUGAGUCGUCAAAAUUUAAUAGACGAGCAUCUCUUAGAAUAGCACAGACAGGGAUGUCUAGACCCUGUCUAAAGAGUGGCUUAAUGGCCACUUGAACAAGUCCGAUAUGCAGAUAAUUAAACUGAUUUUUAAAUCGGUUUAUGUCGUGGUCAUUUAAAAGUUGAAUAAUUUCCAAAGAAUUAUUGAUAGCAACCGUAGACUCAGAGGUCUUAAUAUUAUGUUUUUUGAAAAAACUAAAUUUUCUGAUUUGAUAAAUCGUGCUAAAAGAUUCUUCUGGAAUACUCCAGUUUUGAAGAUUAUUUUCUAUAUUAGCAAUCUGAGUUGCUUUAGAAGAUAAGUUGAUAGUAUUUUUAGUAUGAACGUUGGAAUUCAUAUUUGAAAAUACUGUCUAGAGACUGACUGGGAAAGCAAAGAUUUUCACAUGAGGAAGCAUAAAACAAUUAUCAACUAUGAUACAACCUAUAAUAAAUUAUAUUAAUACAUCUAAGACCAUCAACCUAGACAAGUCCAUAUCACUAAUCAACACUGCAGUCCAUCACUCUUUAUCCACUCUACCUGAUACUCCAAAAACAAACUUAUUCAUCGUGGACCUACUGUCUGCCACUACAUAAGGAGCGUACCUGGCUAACUGGGUGAACUUAAGGGAAAUAACCUAUCUAAGAAAGCUGUAGCGAACUCUUCCCACUCUAUGGGCUCUGUAUCUAUACCUUUGUCUACCUUUUACUGUUUAAACCACGUAUAGGCUACAUCUUGUAGCUGAUAGGUGACUAACUCAACACUCUCACUGGAAGUCACUCUUAUGAAGUCUGUGACUUUUUGAACCUGAUCAAGGAACUCCUGUGGAUCCUCUUUGGACUUGAAACCGUUAAAUAGAGGAGGGUUCAUUCGAGUGAAAUCUCAAAUCCUAGAUGGAUCAACAUUGGCCUCUGGGUCGGCUAGAACAGCGGCUGGCUAUUCGUUUUGAGCUACGACUGAACUGGCUAGAGUAGUGAAUGCAGUCCUGAAUUCUGCAUGAAAGAUGUAUUCGUCCAUGGAAUCUGCUUGGUCAGGAUGAGGUGCUGACUGAUUUUUGGUUCUUUUUUCACUAGUUCUUUCUAAAGAUAUGUUCUAUAAAUGAAAGAAAGAAGUGAAUUAGAUUGAGAGUUUAAUUAGAGCUUUUGCCCACUGGAACUACAUGAAUACAGAAAGAAAGGAAACUGUUCCUAGAACAUCUUAUUGCCUCCUGCACAACACAUGCAUGUACAAGGCUCUACUAGAUGCACCUUUUUAGACUUCCUAGGACUCUAUGGAACCUUAGGCUCUGAUACCAAGUUUUUAAUACCCUGAUUUUCUAAACCGAAAUACUGCAUGGUGCUCAUGACCCCGAAGGACUACAAGCUAAUUUAUGACUAAUAUCUGUACCUGUAUACUGUAUAAUAUAACAUGAAAAUGCAGAAAUAUGAACUGAAUGGCCAUAAGGUUCAAACCUAAAUAAACAUCUGAUAAGAACAAUAUCUCAAAACGGUAUAACAAUAUCAAAACAAGUCUGAAAGAACUGUCUAAUAUGUUGUAGUCUGGAAAGCCUCUAAAUUGUCUAAUAAGGAGUUGAUGGGACAUGUCCCCAACUAACUCCAUCUACUGAAAGAAAAUAACUACUGAAAAAAUGAACUAAUCAAAUAAUAUCAUCCUCAAAUGAUGAUGACUCACUGCUAACACUGUCUGCUAAAAUCUGGAAUGCUACAGCUGAUAUGGAUCUCGUGUCUCUGUACCUAUGGUGUAGAAUAAAAGAAACACCAUAGCGCAAAUGCGUCAGUACGUUGGAAUGUACUGAGUAUGUAAGUGAGGUAGGCUAAAUAUAAAGGGUUUACAUGCAUGAACAAUGCUGACUGAUAUGAACGUGAGAAUACAUAUGUACAUAAAUAACUAUAACUAAACUCGUGGAAAUACAGACUACAGAGUCUGAAUACUGAUAACAUGAUCCUACUGAUACUGAGAUACUAAUUGAUUGAGUUUACUAGAAUUAAAGUGUAAGUCACUAAUGAGUGAGAAAACUGAUACUGUAUUGUUGAAUACUGAAGGACUGAAAAUGCAUUACUGAUACAUGGAUAACUAUUUUUGACAGUUCUGGUUAUGAAGAACUGGCCUGGUUGACUGUAUCUGGUAUUCUAAUUAUAAAGAAUAAAUCUGAUGGACCGUAUCUGACAGCCAUGAACAUGAAGAAUUGAUAUGCUUGAUCAUAUCUGACAGUCAUGAAUGUAAAUACUGGUAAUAUGAGUUCUGAUAACUAGGAAUUCUAAUAACAUGAGUUCUGAGAACUGAUAUGACUGAUAAUAAAGUGACUGUAUCUGAAAGUCCUAAAUAUAGGGAAAUAGCUAAGUUCCAUAUUACUGGGUGACUGUGGCUGACAGUUCUAAAAUCUGAAGAACUAUCUGAGUCCUUUUACUGAGACUGAGAAUGAGACAAUGGGAGGUAAUCAUCUAACCGACAUACCUCGAAACUGAACUAGUUAGGGUCCAAUCCUUGCCCUGAUUAGAAGGCAUCAAUACCAUGCCACGGGUAGAGACAACAUAUGAGUAAACCCUAUUUUGUUAUUAAGAGCUCAUUCCGUCUACCCUACUAUCAGGCAAACUCAAAGGAGAUGCUUUAACCCUAUGGGUAGGGACAUCUCAACCUACGAUGGCUACGUAGUUCUGGAAUGCAAGGAUUGCUUUUAGGAAUCACACCCUUUGAUUGUAACAGGUGAGUCCCCAUCCUUGGUUCUCUCGGUGCUGAAUCCUACUUCCAACUGGAUAGACACUGAACGAAUUUACUGAUCUGAACUGAUUAACUGAACUGAUGCUGGUGGAUUGUUUAGUAGAGCUAAACUAAGUUUACUAGAUUCCGAUGACGGACGGAAUGUACUGAGUUCUGAGGACUAAUUGAAAGUACUGAAGUUACUGAGAGAACUAGAAUUACUGAAGUUUUCGAUAUCACUGAGUACUGAGAUCACUGAGAUUACUGAACUAUUGAGACUUACUGAGGUUUCUGAGUUACUAAAAUUUCCUGAGUCACACGACUGACUGAGUUCUAUGAAACAUGGCCUGACUGAGAAUAUCAUGAAAAUAUGACAUGGCUAUAGGCACACAACUAUAUUUUUUGGAUACGAGUACCCCAGGACUCGAUGUAUGGAAACUGACACACAUGACGUUUCUUGAAUACAUGACCAAUGUCAACAAUCCAUAAUAUCAUAACAUAGGGAAUUUCAAGAAGUACAUGGUUAUCAUACAUCUUAUACAUAAGUAGGAUUUUCAAGAAAGCAUAGCAUAAUCUCACAAGACUAGUUCAUGAACAAUCCAACAACAUUUACAAUUUAUAAUACCAUAAAUAGGGGAUUUCAUACUACACUUGGUUAUCAUAUUCUAGAUCAUGGAAGAUAAUGCAUAUAACAUGUACAUACUUGCAUGAUUCCAAUUUCAUGAACAUUCCAUAUCACAACAACAAUACACAAUAAUUAGCAUGGAAUUCUAGUCUCUUAGGUAUUUUAUCAAACACCUUGCAUGCAUACUUUAUGGCAUAGGUUUAUUCAUGAAUUCAACAACCCACAUCACACAAAGUUCAUAUAUUUUAACCAACAUCUCAUCCUAGUUUCAUUCAAACCCAUAAAGAUUCUAUCUUGACAUCAUUAAACACAAAAACAAGAUCAACAAUCAAAUCAAAAUAUAUCAAGCAUGGCAUAUAGUUUAAAAUAGGAUUCUUGGACUUCAUGCACGAAAGGAGUCCAUGAAUGAACACAUACAUACCUUAUUUCUUGAUUCAAAAAAGAUUGACGGAAAAAUUCUUGGAAUUUGAUGGUGUAAUUUUCUUGAACUUGAAUUACCCAAUUGAAAUCCUAGCUGGUUCUUGAGAGGAAUUUGAGACAAGAUAGUGUAUUUUGGUGUUUUUGAGCCUUAAUCCCCUAUUUUUGAGUAUAUAUAUGAAGGUAAAAUGACCAAAUACCCCCGAGAGCAUGGAAGUGGAAUGCUAAAAAUUGGGCUAGCACUGGAGUUGCUAGGCGGCGCCUGCCUAAGCCCAAUGGACUACCCCAGGCGAUGCCUGCCUUAGCCCAGCGGACUACCUCAGGCGGGGCCUGCCUUAUGGCAGUUCUAUAGCUGGGGCGACGCGGGCUUAUCUCCCCGAGCUGCUAUUUUGGAAUUCCAAACAUGCCCUUACGCUAUCCAAAAAAUUCCAAAACUUACCCGAGAUGUACUACGACAUUACCCCAUCAUAACGCAACUUGAAAAUCUAAAAACGAAGGUCGGGAAGGUCAUCAAAUAAAUCCCCAAAGUUUGGAAGUCUAAAAUGAGACUAAGUGUUGAAUCUUGAACACCUAGCAAAAUUUUCUAAGUCUUGGAACCUUUCAUGGAGCUUCGCGUGCUGAAUUUGACACGCGAUUUUGUGUGGUCUUACAGUUUUUAAGGGAUAAAUGGGUAUCUUCCAUCCCUUAUCCAGCUUUAAUACGGGAUUAAACUCCCAAAACACCAAAAUAUGAUUCUAUUCACCCAAACUACCCAAGAACACUCUCUAGGAUUUCAAACUAAAAACCCAAAUAUCUCAAGAUUUAGCCGUGGGUUUUUCGUAAUUCUUCAAGAUUUGAAAUCCCCAUUGCGAGGGCUACAAGAGGCAACCAUCAAUCGUAUGUAUAGCAUCCUAAAAGCUAGAGUUUAUUCAAAAGAUUCUAAUUUAAGGUACGUGGGGUUUAUCCUAAAAACUACAUGGGCUUUUAAACUCUAGAACAUGAUUUAAAGAUUAUCAAGCAUGAAUUUUAAAGGGGUUUCAGAAUUUAUGCUUUAAAUUCUGCAUUAUGGAUGUCUUGAUAAUGAUAUUGUUUUGCCCUUUAGGCCUUUCCCUUAAACUGAUUUAUACCUAUAUGUAUAUGUAUCAUAUUGAAGGUUUGACUGAGAGCACUGCUAUUGAAAUCCCUCUUUUUGAUGAUUUAGAGUUUAUGAACUUGUUGAGAAUGAUUUGAGAUGCAUGCACAAUGUUUAGAAAGUGAUCUUUUCAAUAGUCAAGAAUUUAAUAUGAUUUUGAUGAUGAUGAGAGGGAGCCUUUUGAAUAUGAUUUUAUUUUUACGUUAAAGAGAAAGAAUUUGCAUAUGAUUGUUAUUUUUGGCAUGACCACCUUGUAUAUUUAAUGUUGAAAGAAGAGAGUUUCUUACAUAUGAUUACAUGAAUUAAAUAAAUGAGUUCUUUGAAAUGAUUUGUUGAUAUAGUGGUCCUAAACAUAUGUUUUGAGAGCAGAGAUUUUUAUAUGCUAAAAUGGCUCAGAGAUGUCACUUGCAAGCCAGUGGUAUAACGAUACCACAAGUAUGUAUGCCAUAACAGAGUAUGUUUUCAGAGUAUGAUUUCAGAUGUUGUUCUCAAAGAAUGGAUGUUUUGAAAGAGUUAGAAAUGGGCUUAAAAAGGGUUAGGUGGUUUUCCGAAGAAUUCUUGAGCUCAAGUAACUCAUAGCCAGAAACUGUUUUUUGCCGAUGCGGGUACAUUAUUUCCCCACGAGGGAUUUUUAUGCUGGUCUAGUGCCCUGUGGCGUACAAAGUAGAGAGUCCGACCUUUGUGUCAAACUUGGGUUGGGGGCUUGGCUGCCAAGUUAAUGGCAGAUCCCAUAUAGCCCGUGGGAUAACAGAGUUGUAGGGUAUACUACCUAGCACAGAAUUAAUACAAAGAGUAUCACAGAUUUUAGAUAUUUUCAUAGAGUCUUUUAAAAUGCCCAUGUGAUUUCUUACUAUAUGAUAUGCUUAUGAAUUGUUUUAAAUUGCUCUCAUAUAUGUUGAAUAUAAAAGAUUAUUUUGGAUUUACCCUAUGUACUAGUACAUCUAUAUUAACCCCCCUCCCCCUACCUCUCAGGUUCUAAGGUUCACUCUAGGGGUCCAGCUAAGCAGUAGAUAAUUCAGACAGCAGAACAGAUUGUGCAGUGUGAAUCUUCACUAUUCCAGAAGACCUUUUUUCUUUCAAAUUUUGUUGUUCCUUCAUUUUGGUCUACUGGGGGCCUUGUCUUAGAUUUUUCAGACAGUAUUGUUUUGAGAUAUAGUAGAGAUUUUGCAGACUGAGUUAGAUGUUGUUUAGAUAUUGUUGGAGUUUUCCUUCAUUGUUAAACUAAUUUCAGAGUAUGUUCAUGUUUCUACAUUCUAUUUAUAAUUCCGCAUUUUCCUUUUAUUAUAUAAAUGUUGUGCAUGAUUACUAGAUAGAGUAGGACAUCUGGCCUUCAUGGGUCAGAUGUCCUUCCAGGCCCUAGUUCGGGUUGUGACAAACACCGGGUGAAUAAAACCCAAACUUGCAGGCAAUUCUAACUCAUAUGCAACCCCAUCUAUCCUUUUCAAAAUUUGUUAUGGCCCUAUAUAGCGAGGACUCAACUUCUCUUUCUUUCCAAAACGUAUGACUCCCUUCAUAGGGAGACCUUGAGAAAUACCUAAUCACCAACCUCGAAUUUUAUCUCCCUUCUCUGAAUAUUAGCAUAGUACUUCUGUCUACUCUGGGUUGUUUUAAGUCAUUCUCUAAUAAUUUUCACAUCUUCCAUAUCCUGGUGAAUAAGAUCAGGCCCAAGAAAUUGUGUCUCACUAACCUCAUACCACCCUAUGGGCGACCUGCACCUUCUCCCAUACAGUGCCUCAAAAGGUGUCAUCUUAAUAUUGGCAUGGUAGCAAUUAUUGUAGGUGAAUUCUAUCAAUGGAAAAUGGUCUACCCUACUACCUUUGAAAUCAAUUACACAAGAUCUCAACAUAUCUUCAAGGGUCUGAAUAGUCCACUCAGCUGGCCCAUCCGUCUGAGGGUGGAAAGCCGCACUCAGGUUCACUUGGGUACCUAAAACCUCCUAAAAAGAUCUCCAAAACUACGAUGAGAAUUGCGUACUGCGGUCAGAUAUGAUGGACACAGGUGCUCCAUGCAAACGGACUAUCUCCUCAAUGUAAAUCAUGGAAUAGUCAUCUCCCAAAUAAUUAGUCCGCACAGGCAGAAAGUGAGCUGACUUAGUCAGCCUGUCAACAAUCACCGAGAUAAAAUCAUACUGGUUUUGGUACCUCGAAAGUCCCAUAAUGAAGUCUAUAUUAAUCAUCUCCCACUUCUAUAAGGGAAAAGCUAUCCCUUGGGAAGUACCACCUGGCCUCAAAUGCUCUACUUUAACUUGCUGGCAAUUCAAACACUUGGAAACAUAAUUAGCCACAUCACGCUUCAUAUUAUUCCACCAAAAUAUAGUUCUCAAAUCAUGGUACAUUUUUGUAGAGCCUGGAUGAACAACAUACCUCGAUGUGUGAGCUUCAUCAAGGAUUCUUUUCCGCAGGUCAUUUACAUCUGGCACACAUAAUCUACCUUGAUAUCUCAGAAUACUGUCACCACCAAUUUCAAAGGACAUCACCUUCCGCUACCCCACAUCAUUCUUAAUUUGCAUCAAAAUAGGAUCUUCAGCCUGCUUUUCUUCAACCUCUGCACAAAGGGAUGAUUUUGUUAUUUCAUGAACAACCACCCCUCUAUCUUCGGAAUCCAAGAGUUGAACCCCAAGAUUUGUAAGUCGGUGAAUAUCCUUCACCAUCUCCCUUUUCCCCUGCCUCUACAUGAGAAAGACUACCCAUAGAUAACCUGCUGACGGCAUCGACUACCACAUUCACCUUUUCCAGAUGAUAGUGCAGGCUCAUGUCAUAAUCCUUUAGCAAUUCCAUCCGGCGUCUUUGCUUGAGAUUUAAUUCUUUCUGUGAGAAAAUGUGCUGAAAACUCUUGUGGUCACUAAGAAUAUCAACGUGUACCCAUAAAGAUAUUGCCGCCAUAUCCUAAGCGUGAAUACCACACCCGCUAACUCUAAGUCAUGAUUAGGGUAAUUACGCUCAUGCACUUUCAACUGCCUUGAUACAUAAGCCACCAUCUUACCAUGUUGCAUAAGUACACAUACAAGUCCCACACGAGAUGUAUCAAAGUACACAACAAAGCCCUCUGUACCUUUCGGAAGAGUCAAAACAGGAGCAGUGGUCAACUUAUCUUUCAACUUCUCAAAAUUAUUCUCACAGGAGUCAAACCACACAAAAUUUACCUUCUUCUAUGUCAGCUUAGUAAGUGGUGCAUCUAUGGAAGAAAAACUCUCUACAAACCUUCUAUAAUAUCCUUCCAAACCCAAGAAGCUACGAAUAUAGGUUGGAGUCCUGGGUCUAGGCCAUCUUCUCACAACCUCAACCUUUUGGAGAUCAACCUUAAUUCUCUCACUAGACACAAUAUGACCCAAGAAACAAAUAGCAUUCAGACAGAAUUCACACUUGGAAAAUUUUGCAUAAAACUUAUGCUCUCUGAGAGUCUGAAGAAUAAUUCGGAGGUGAUUGGCGUGGUCCUCCUCACUCUUAUAAUAAACCAAGAUAUCAUCAAUGAAUACUAUGACAAACAGAUCCAAAAACUGAUGGAACACCCUAUUCAUUAGGUCCAUGAAAGAUGCAGGGGCAUUAGUCAAUCUGAAGGACAUGACUAAGAAAGCAUAAUGACCGUAUCAGGUUCGGAAAGCUAUUUUGGGGAUGUCUGACUCUCUAAAUUUCAACUAAUAGUAUCAGAAUGAAGGUCUAUCUUUGAAAAAUAUUUAGCACUCUGAAGUUGGUCAAAGAGAUCAUCAAUCCUAUGAAGAGGAUAUUUAUUUUUAACAGUGACCUUAUUUAACUGGCGGUAAUCUAUGCACAUACGCAAGGAACCAUCUUUCUUACGCACGAAGAGUAUAGGUGCACCCAGGGAGAAACACUAGAAUGGAUAAAACCUUUAUCUAGAAGAUCUGCUAGCUGCUCUUUCAACUCUUUCAGCUCCACAGGAGCCAUCAUAUAGGGCGGAAUAGAGUUGGGACGGGUGUCCGGCUACAAAUCUAUACCAAACUCUAUCUCUCUAUCAGGUGGUACCCCUGGGAGAUCUUCGGGAAAGUCCUCCAAAAAUUCUUUUACCACAGGGACUGACUGAAGAGAUGGACUCUCCAUAUUAGAAUCUUUCAAUCAGAUCAGAUGAUAUAGAAAACCUCUGGAAAUGAGCUCUAAGAUAAGAUAUAAAAUUCCCUCUAGGUACUAGAGAAUGUCCCUUCCACUCUACCACUGGUUUAUUUGGGAAGGCAAAAGUGACUCUUCGGGUCCUACAAUCUAAUGUAGCAUAACAUAAAUGGAGCCAGUCACUAGGAUAGCAUCAAAGUCAACUAUCUCAAGAUCUAUGAGGUCUGCCACAGUAUCUCGGCUAUAGAUGGAUACAAUAUAAUUUCUAUACACCUGUCUAGCUACAAUAGAAUCUCCCACUGGAGUGAAAACAAAAAAAGGCUCAGCAAUUACAUCGGGCUCAAACCCAAAACCAAUAGUCAUAUAAAGGGUCACAUAGAAAAAAGUAGAUCCAAGACUAAGUAAUACAUAUACAUCACGAGAAAAGAUUUGUAACGUACCGGUAACUAUAUCUGGGGAAGAUUCUACAUCCUGACGAUUGGUCAAGGCAUACAACCAGUUGCGUCCUCUCUCUGUAGCUGAAGUGGUGCCUUUAGGAACAGGAUCUAUGGAGGCGGCUUGGGACUUAUCUCCCCCUGCAUUACCUCUAGUUGAAGGGUAAUCUCUCUGAAUAUGACCCAUUUAACCGCAGGAAUAACAAUUCCUCCUCUCAAAGUAACACUUUCCAGGGUGGUUCUUCCCGCAAACACUACAACGGGGAAAAGAUCUUACGAGUUGCGUUAUGCUGCCCCAAGAAUGGGUGUCCUACAUCCUCCACCCACUAUUUACCUGUGGAUUUAAGGGUUGCUGACCACGUGGAGGUCUGGGCAUGGGGGCACUUCCUGCAGGAUGAGAAUUACCCCAAUUCUUUCUCUUCUGCCAUCUGUUACUCCAAUUACCACUCUGCUACUGGUUGUGGCUUUGGUCUGCUAUCUUGCUCUUUUGCUCUCUUUUCCUACCUGUCCUUCUCCCUAGAUUUAGAGAUUCUUUGCUUAUGCUCCUCUAACUACUGCAUGUGGAUUGUCAGUUUAGAGAAGUCCACAUCCUUAUUUAGCAUUAACCCCUUACACUCAAGCACUAAGUUGUCUGAAAGUCCAUAUGCAAACUUUCUCAUUUGGGCUCUCAUAUUACCAGUCAUUUCCAGAGCAUAUCGGGCUAGUUGGUUGAACUUCAGAGUGUAUUCCUUGACACUUAUUUUUCCUUGCUUUAGAUUCUUGAACUCUUCUGCUUUGGUCUCCCUCAACUCUAGAGGAAAGAACCUAUCAAGGAAGGCUUCCACGAACUUGUCUCAUACUGUGGGCUCAGCAUUCUCACCCUUCAAAUCCUCCCACUUGUUAAACCACUAAUUUACAACUUCUUUAAGCUGAUAAGUUGCUAACUCCACCCCUUCCACCUCGUCUAUAUGCAUCACUUUAAAAAAUUUCUCCAUCUUAUCCAUAAAUUCCUGUAGAUCCACCUCUACUUUGGUGCCAGUAAACUUGGGCGGGUUCAUUCUCAUGAACUGACCCACCCUAGUAGUCUCAGAUGUAAUGAAUGCAGACCCAAUAUAUUAUGACCGUUUAGUCUGUAUGACCACCAAUUACGCCAGCAUGUGAAUGGACUCUCUGAAUUCUGCAUUAGAAAUGUCCCUCUGGGAAGACUUCGGAUGGUUAACAUUUGUUCUUGGAGCCUGAGAAGGACUGGUCGGGACUGGUGGUAUUCUUGGAGUAGGGACAGGUUCUGGGGUGUGAGCUAUGUUAUGGUUCUGUAUCCCAUGAGUGGGAAGGACCUCAUUAGUCUAAGAGUUCUGAUUGUUAGAGAGAUGAGGAGGCAUGGCUGUUUUCUGAAUGCAAGAGAUCAUUGAUUAGAGCAUAGAUUAGACUCCAAAGCACGAACUGAAUCACAAAGAGGGAAACAUUCCUAAACACCUAGUAGCCUCCUACUUAUAAGUAUGGGGCACUACACACCCAUAAACAAGACUCUACCCAAUGCAAUUUCGCAGACAACUUGGACCAUAAACCGUGCUUUGAUACCAAGUUUUUCAUGACCCGAACCGGGACCCUAGCCGUGAAGAGCAUCCCAAACCAUAAAGGAUCAGAUGCCAUUCUAACUUGUAAUCACAUACACUGCUCGUAUACAAAAGACAAUGCAGAAAUAUAUAUAUACUGAAAUGGGAACAUGAUCAUAAGUCUGAAAUAAAUUUAACAAUAGAGUAUGUCAUCCAAUACUAACUAAUAGCAUCUGAAAAUCGUCUGCAAAAUCUCUACUACAUGGUCAAUAACAACUAUCUGAAAACUUGAACAAGGCCCCAGUAGACCAAAAACCAUAACAAAUGAUAAAUGUCUAGAAAUAAUCAGGCCAUCAGAAUUAUAGAAGGCCCACCAACUGGACUCUGCGCUUCUGCCUAACGGAAUCUACUACUUAUCAGGACCCCUGGAUUGUUCCUCAGAACCUGAGAAGGAGGGGGGUCAAUACAGAUGUAUUGAUACGCAGAGUAAUCCAAAAACAAAAUAUAAUCUUUAUAUAACAUAUAUGAGAGCUGGUAUAAAAUACUUUAUCACAAAACAGUUUAAAAACACAUGGGCAUAGUAUAAUGAUUUUUCAAUGACAAUGCAAUACUACUGAGCUAGGUGGUACACCCUACAACUUUAUAUUUUCACCAACUGCCAAAUCUCGAUUGCCGCCCAGAUUGGAAUAUGAGUGAGGGAAGGACACAAAAGAUCAGACAACAGGGUGCCAUACCCCAAUUAAGUCAAUAUGUCGUGGUUGUGCUCAAGAUCACAAAGCAGGGAUCCUAACCAUUAGUCCCAAUUUGGGAUGACAUAAUAGUUGGUACGCAAGAUCACAUAGAAGGGUACCAAAUUCCCGUGUCGGCAAUCACGAUUUCCAUCAUAGAGUCAUUUGACUAGUGCUUUCUUUGGGUAACCACCUAACUCACAUAAAUAUAAGCUUUAAGCUUGAUUCAAGACAAAGCAUACAUCUUACUCUACAGGGUAUCGUCAUACCCUGACUUGCAAGUCAUCGGUACCACAUCAAUUCAUCAUCUCGUUAUGUAAUUCAUGGUAUGCACACACAUAAUACUUCCACACCUCAAACACAUGAACAACGGUUCUCAAUAUGUAAUAAUUCAAGAAAUUUUUAUCAUUUAUAAAGUAGUAUCAUAGUAGUUACAGAACCCAUUAUCAUGGUAAUAAACAUUAUCAUGGGGAAAUUUAAAGAGUUCACAAUUUAUAUUCAUCACAUCCUUUUUAAAUUCAAUUCGCACGUCCACAAAUUCAACACAUUGAGAUAUAUGGCAAACAAUCCCAUGAUAUUUCAAUAUUCCUUUCAAAAUCAUAUCUCAAAACAUGUUAUUGGCAUUAAAACGAAAACCCCACUUGUAAUAACAUAUAUAUACUUGUAUGAAUAUUAAAGUCUUGUGUAAAUUCUUUUCAAUAUCAUGCCAAUGAGAUUUAGGACAACCCCACAUACCUCAAUAUAGGUAUUCAAUGGAUGCUUCUUGAAGCCUAUGAUUUGGGAAUUCCGAAUCUUCGAUCAAUUUCUGAAAUUCACAGUUUAAUCUCGAGUUAUAAGGAAUUUUUUUGUUUGAAACCCUAAGGGUAUUCUUUAAUGGAUUUUGAUGAAAAAAUGAAUAGAGCGGUCUUUUGGGAUAAAAACCUCGUGUUUGGGCACAUUAGAAUGAGGGAAAAUUAUCCAAUUGCCCCUUUAAGAUGUGGAUUUUAAAAUCUGAAAUAAUUGGGCACCGAUGUGAUUGGUGACGCGGUGCGUCGAUGCCAUCGGUGCUAUACCCGACGCAUUAUGCCUUAAUUGUGUCAAGCCUCAGUACUUUUUGCCUGGCAUUUCCUGCACGAAAUUGACCAACGCGAUAGGCAAUGCGGCGCGCUGAGAUCGCGUUGGUCCAGUAUUUUGGUACACCAAACAAGGUCUAAACAUGGUCCGAAAAAUCCAAAACUUGUUCGAAAACACCCAUUGACCUCCCGGAUCAUGAAUUUUCUAAAAUACCAAGUAUAGAGGGUCGGUAAGGUCAAAAAUAAGAUCAUCGAAGAUUAGAAGCUCAAAAUAAUUCUAAAUCCUUUUUACACUUAGAAAAAUUUUCAAAUCUUUAACUCUUUAAGCAUACUACUAGGAGCUAAUACAUGCACGACUUUUUCAAGGUGUUACGGAAUGAAAAUCCAAACAAAGUGUAUUCAAUUUAAAAAUAUAUUUUCAGGCUUUGUUGUAUCCUGAUAGAGAAUUGCUUGUAAUCCAUAAAGAAAAUACGGGCAAUAACUCUUGUCAUUUUCUUGAUAUUCAUGUUAUCACAAAGUGUCACGAUUUGUGAUACAUAAUUUGUAACUUCUGAAUGGUUACUUGGCACAAUUAAGUGGUUGUAUUGCUGCCUUCUGUAGUUAUUUUUAAGUCCCAACUGCUAAAUAAAUAUGGAUGUAGACUUCCCUAAGUUUCUAUUAGUUGAAUGCAUAAAGGGAAAAACAUUUUUGAGAAUCCCAUUGUGGAUGUUCUUCCAUUCAAAUUUCGUUUAACAGUUUGAUAAUCUAGUGUGGUCUGAAAAGUUUGAAAUGACUUAAAACUAAGCCUUGAUGAAUAUAUAAAUGGUUUUAGGGGUUCGUGAUUUUGUAUCUAUUGUCAUUCAUGGCUUAGGGUGUGUUUGAUAUGAAGAAAAAUACUUUUCACUAAAAAUAAGUGUGUUUCUUACUUAUUUUUUAAAAUAAGCAGAAAAUAUUGGUUGAAAAAUAUUUUAUAUAAUUUAUACAAUUACCAUGGAGAGGAGUGGGGAUAGGAGUGUGGGGAUGCUUAGAGAUGGAGGCUGGAUGUGUUGGAGAAUGAAGAGAAAAUAAUUAAUAUGGAAUACCACUUAUAUAACUUGCUCUUGUACUUCUGCGAGAGAGGUUACUUUUCUCAUUUUAAGGAACUUAUUUUUCUAGAAAAAAAUAUAAUCGACCAAAUAUAGGAAAAUUGAAAAAUGUAAAGUGAAAAAUAUUUUUCUCUAUGCCUAGAUAGCCUUAGGGGACUUUUGGUAGAGUAUAUAAGAAUAAGGCAUAAUAUAGUGUAUUAGUAAUGCUUGUACUAGUUGUACUUGCAUUAGUUAUAUUGAUAUUGUUUCUUAUACAUUGUUUGGUUUGAUGUAUUAAAAAUAAUAUCUUACAGAAUUCCUACAAAAAUGUUUGUUUACAAAAAUAUCCUUCUUUGACAUUGUACACUUUCUUUGCAACAAAGUUCUUUUGCCAUCUUAAACAUAAUUAGUAUUGUUGAACUAAUAUAUAGAGGUGUAGGAUUACUUGCAAGACCUUCAUCUUUGCGCAUGAAAUGUUAUGUUGAUGGAUUAACAUAGUCGAAACGAAAAAAAUACAAGAUGUAGAAUCAAUGAAUAGUCUCAUGAAAUUUAUUUUUAAUCUUUUUAUAGACCCUUGAAGCAAAAAAAGGAUAUAUUAUAGUUAUUUAAACCAGCUAUCAUAAGCAUAAUCCAUACAUAAUUCAACAUGCGGAAGAAAUAGUGAAAUUCAACUUUAUCUUAUGAUCAGAAUAACCUGGUAUAUCCCCCAAUCCAAGUUUUCCACAAGGAUUGGAGUUUUCAUAACUUGGUAUAUCCCCCGGUGAGUAUACCGUAGGCAUCCCCUUAUGUGAGAUGUCCUAAUUAUACUCCCAUGUAAGGUAACAUAUCAUAAAUUUCUCAUCGGCAAAACACAAUUUUCGACAAUGAGUUAUCUGAAUUUGUUCCCUCUUCGGGUAACCAUCUAACUUUCUUAGAGCCCAUUUAUAGUCUUUUAAAACAUGCAUAUUUCCCAAAACAUGGUCUGAAGUCUGAAAAAUUCUGUAGUCUAUCAUGACAUUUAUCUGAUUUGGUAUUGUCAUACCAAAACUUGCAAGUCAUAUAAGUCGUAUCAUAUCAUAUCAUGUCAUGUCUUCAGCCCUUUAUUUAAAAGCAUGCUAUUUGAGCAAAUAAAUGAUGAGUUCUUAUUUCAAAAGAACAUGAAAACUUAUGCAAAAUACUAUGCUUUCAAGACUUUAACAUCGGUUGGCCAUCAUUUUCAUAAAUCACAUGCAAUUCUUUUAUUUAACACAAAAGGGCAUUUAUCAAUAUGAAACACCUCUUGAAAAAAUAUAAAAGGACAAGGCAUAUUUGAUAAAGAUUCGUUUAAAACUCAUGUUUCUCAUCGUUCAUUAAACAACCCCCAACAAUAGAAUAAAUAAAUCUCAUGAUCGAAAAAGGGAGUCUAUUAGUUCAUGCUAUCAAAUUCACUUCAAAACCCAUAAUACAUGCACAUAUUUCAUAAUUAUUUAGGAGCCACAAAAUUUUUUAAAUACAUGAAUCUUAUAAAUAGUUCAAAUACUUCAAAACUCUUAACAUAUGCACAUAAUCAAAGUCUCAAACUUGAAGAAAAUCCCAUAAUAAAUGCAUAAUUCCAUCUUAAGGUUGAGGUUUCGAAAUUCAUGUUUUUUAAAUCAACUUCAAAGCCUUAACUUACAUACAUACAUAAUAAGGAUUAUUAAAAUCAACAUACUUAUGCCAAUAAAUUUUAGGAUAGUUCUACAUAUCUUUGAGGUAGAAAAAUUAAAUAAUAACCUUGAAUUUGGAAUCUACAAGCUUUAGCAUUGAGAAACCCCUUCUUGAUGAUAUUGGGAGGAAGAGAAUGAGGAUUUGGAAGAAACCCUAGCUUCUUUCUUGAGAAAUGAGAAGAGAAUGAGCGUUUUAAUCUGAUUAUUAAUGAGUAAUAAUUCUUAUUGGAAGAUUUAAAUCAAGCGGGAGGAGUUUGUGGUGGGAAAAAAAUCAAAUACCCCCUUGAAAACUUUAUAACAGUGCAAAACGGUUCCUACUGAUGGUUUGGGUAACGGAUCAUCACUCCCGUGAUAGACUGUCACUCCAGCCGUCCCAAAUUGACAAAUUUUCUCUCUAUUUGCUUAAAGGCGGCUGUCUGGUGCGACGGGCCAUCACCCUAGCCGUCGCGCCUUGGAAGACAAACACCUUUUGAUAAAUCAUGCAUAACUUUUUAUUACGAUAUCAAACUAAAGCAAAACUGAUGGCGUUGGAAAGAAGACUCGAAGACCUCUCAUUUGAUAUACAGGAUGCCACCCUAACUCAUUAUAUUUUAGGAGUAAUAUUUGUUGGAAUUUGACCCAAGUUGGAACAUUUCCUAAAACUCAAUCAAUAGAAAAAUUCUCAACUCAACUUUGAGUUUGGAGAUUUUUAUGAUCUCAAUUUAUCUGUAAAUAUGUUCCCUCACUAAAGAAUUGAUCCUCACACUAAUAUGGACACAAAAUCAUUAGGUUCGGAUCUAUAUAUGUAGGAAUGAAGGUUCGAAUUCUAACCCGAAAAUGUGGGGUGUCACACAAACGACCCCUUAAUCUAAAUGCCCUAUCAAGUAUUUUAGUCACUUAAACAUGGAAAAUUGCACGUAAGAUUAGAAGCUGUGGAAUCAUACCCUAUCAUCCAUAGUGUAAUAAGAAAAAAGAAAAAGGAAAACUUUACACCUUGUUUGGAUUGUUAUUACAAAUACGACAUUUGCUUAGAUUGCUAUUUAAAAUAUAUUAUAUCGUAUUGUUAAAUCCAUCGUGCAUAACAAUGAAAAGCUCCAUUGUGUGUGUUAGCCUUAUACUACGUUGCAACAUUCUUUUGGACAUUUUUCAAUAGUUUUGUGCAAAUUAUACGCUCCAAAGUCUACCAUUUACCUAGCAUGAAUUUCGUUUAAUCCAUAAAAACGUAGAAUCCCAUGAGACCACCCUUUAAUUUUUGUUUACCAUACAAAUUUUUAUGUGCCACACAUUUAACUAAACAAUAGCUUUUAUCUCUUCCAUCCAUUAUUUCAGCAUCUUAAUUUAAGCAAAACCAUACAAACACACAUGAUUCUUAAUCUAUUCACACCUAUAAAUAAUCCUCCUUUUCAUUCUUCAUUUCUCAUAAUCACAAUUUGUUUUUAACAAAAGUAAAAAGAAUGGAGGUGUCUAACAAGAAAAUAACAUCUCCAUUCUUUGCUUUCUUGUUUAUUUCUUCUCUUCUUAUUCAAUGUUUUCCGUGUGUUUCAUCAAAACCAAUUCCUGGAGGAAAAUACAAUAAGCCGGUCCCAAACCCAGGCCCCAUAAAUCCGGUCCCAAAUCCAGGCCAACCACUUCCAAAUCCUACAACACCGGGGGGCAAAAAAUUUUGCGUACCCAAACCUGAGGCUACAGAUAAAAAAUUGACGGCUUGUAUAAAAUGGGUUUGCAAAGAGGGAGGUGUGGAUUGUGGCCCAAUUAAUCCUGGAGGUGCAUGUUCUCAGCCCAAUACUCUUAGGUCUCGUGCAACCUGGGCCAUGAAUGCUUACUUUCAAAUGAAGGGUAAAACUGACAGUAUGUGUGGUUUUUCGGGCACUGGUGUCGUCUCUUCCAUUGAUCCAAGUAAGUAUUCAACAUUUUUUUGAUCAGUGUAAAGAAUUUUGUAUAUUAUUAAAUCACUUUGAAGAUGAAGAAUUUUUGCGAUACAUAUUGACAACGUUUUGUCAAAUCACCAAUAAGAUAACCAUGUAUAAUUCAGCAUAGUAAUUAAGAUUAGUAACCUAAAAUAUUAGGCAAACAACUGAAAUAACAGUUUAAAUUAUACCGAUAGUGUAAAAGUUUUUGAAAUUUUAAGCUUAUGUAAGUUUUCACAACAUUAAGUGUUUAAUCACUUAUUAUAAAAUAAUAAAAUAUUGAAUUUGGAUUGAAAUCAAAUUUAUAAUUAAUAGACCGUGAAUUCAAUAAGAAAACUAAAAAUGGAGCAAUUCAGUUCUAUCCUAAUACAAUUUUUUUUGUAAUUAGUCCCAUGACAAAAUUAUAAUUAUACCCAUUAGUAAGUUUUCAAAUGGAGAAAAUUAUAACUUGAAAAGGCAAAUAAGUCAAUCAUUUUUUAGUGGAUAUUUUGGUAAGCCAAUAUUAUUAUUCUUGAUUCUAUAAUAAUAUAGACAGAUAGAUAUAAAUUACAUCUACUUAUUGUUUAGGCUAUUUAAAUAGUAUAAAAAAAUCUUGUGUUUU